rnacentral:lncRNA from 1 species
CUCUGCUUCCCUCUGCGAAGGGCCUAUCUAUUUACUUUUAUGUUGAGUCAUCACCCUUCUUAUUAAAAGCACCCGCUGGAGAGCACACUGUCAUUUGCAUUCAUUAUUAUUGGUUUAUAUUGGGUAUGACUUGACUGGAUCUCUUUUACCAUGAAUUACAAUGUUUAGUCAGUCCUUGAUCUUUAAAGGUGCUCUGCAUUUAUGUUUUGCGGUCUCAGAAAGGGCUAGCGAGAUACCACUUUGUUAUAUCAUGUUAUGAUUAUUUUGAGAAAGUGUUGUCAUCCGAGUUUUAUUAUUAUGGCUCGCUAGCUGAUUAUGCUAUUGAUAUGAGUAAUUGUGAGACCUAUGUGUUAUUGUUAGUAUGGUUAGUUCAUAAUAUUUGCUGAAACUUGAAUGCUGGCUUUUCAUGUUACAACAACAAGAGCAAACAGAGUUUGUAAAAGUUUUUCUUUAUCACUUUCAGUUUAUCAACUGAGUUACUUGAGGACAAGCAAAGGUUUAAGCUUGGGGCAAUUGAUACGUCUCCAACGUAUCUACUUUUCCAAACACGUUUGCCCUUGUUUUGGACUCUAACUUGCAUGAUUUGAAUGAAACUAACCCGGACUGACGUUGUUUUCAGCAGAACUGCCAUGAUGUUGUUUUAUGUGUAGAAAAGAAAAGUUCUCAGAAUGUCCUGGAAAUCCAUGGAGGCACUUUUCAGAUUUAAUAAGAAUUUUUGGCAAAAGAAUUAGUGCCAAGGGGCCCACGGCCUGUCCACGAGACAGGGGGGCGCCCCCCCCCCCUAGGGCGCGGCCCCCUAUCUCAUGGGCCCCUGGACCUCCUCCGACCUCAACUCCAACUCCAUAUAUUCCGUCUCGGGGAGAAAAAAAUCAGAGAGAAAAUUUCAUCGCGUUUCACGACACGGAGCCAUCGCCAAGCCCUAAUCUCUCCCGGGAGGGCUGAUCUGGAGUCCGUUCGGGGCUCCGGAGAGGGGGAUUCGUCUCCGUCGUCAUCAUCAACCAUCCUCCAUCGACAAUUUCAUGAUGCUCACCGCCGUGCGUGAGUAAUUCCAUCGUAGGCUUGCUGGAUGGUGAUGGGUUGGAUGAGAUUUACCAUGUAAUCAAGUUAGUUUUGUUAGGGUUUGAUCCCUAGUAUCCACUAUGUUCUAAGAUUGAUGUUGCUAUGACUUUCCUAUGCUUAAUGCUUGUCACUAGGGCCCGAGUGCCAUGAUUUCAGAUCUGAACCUAUUAUGUUUUCAUGAAUAUAUGUGUGUUCUUGAUCCUAUCUUGCAAGUCUAUAGUCACCUAUUAUGUGUUAUGAUCCGACAACCCCGAAGUGACAAUAAUCGGGAUACUUCUCGGUGAUGACCGUAGUUUGAGGAGUUCAUGUAUUCACUAUGUGCUAAUGCUUUGUUCCGGUUCUCUAUUAAAAGGAGGCCUUAAUAUCCCUUAGUUUCCGUAAGGACCCCGCUGCAACGGGAGGGUAGGACAAAAGACGUCAUACAAGUUCUUUUCCAUAAGCAUGUAUGACUAUUUACGGAAUACAUGCCUACAUUACAUUGAUGAAUUGGCGCUAGUUCUAUAUCACCCUAUGUUAUAACUAUUGCAUGAGGAAUCGCAUCUGGCAUAAUUAUCCAUCACUGAUCCAUUUCCUACGAGCUUUUCACAUAUUGUUCUUCGCUUAUUUAAAUUUACGUUGCUACUGUUACAACUACUAUAAAAACCCAAAAACAUUUAUCUUUACUUUUGCUACCGCUACCUUUAUUAUCAUACCACUUUUUCUACUAAACACUUUGCUGCAGAUACUAAGUUAUCCAGGUGUGGUUGAAUUGACAACUCAACUGCUAAUACUCAAGAAUAUUCUUUGGCUCCCCUUGUGUCGAUUCAAUAAAUUUGGGUUGAAUACUCUACCCUCAAAAGUUGUUGCGAUCCCCUAUACUUGUGGGUUAUCAGAAGGGAACGACACAGAGGCAGGGAAGACUCGGCAAUUGUUUCCCACGCGGAGGGGAGUACGACUGUACGAGGGUUUAUUGGUUCUUCUGCCGUCGCCGGAGAAUAACAGUAGGUCUGAGUGAGUAGAGAGAUGGCUAGGCCAGCGAUGGGAGUACGGUGGGGAGGUGAGGCCUGCGCGGCAGCACAGCAGGCCGUUGGGAGGAGGGAGCAGGCAGUCCCGCCGGCGCUUGUUUGAGCGGCUGGAGCAGGAAGAGCAGAGAUUGAAGAAGCAUGACGGCCGUUGGAUGGACAUCCAACAGUCACUGCUUGUGCAUCGACCUUUUUUUAGGAAAGCCAUAAAUCUGUGGAAAACAGCAUACAGCCCAUCUGCCAUUAUUUCUAAUAAUUUACAACCCAUUUGCUAAUUCUUAAGGUUUUUUGGAGCCCAUAUUCUUUUUGUUAGCAUUACAGUGGCCACGGUUAAAAAAUUAUACGAAAUUUUGCAUGUUUUGGUGCGGUUCGAACUGUUUUUAAUCCCGAAAUUUUGACUCACAUUCAAACUGAUUUUAAAAAUAAAUGUAUAUCAAUAUAAAAUCCAACAAAUUCUCCACGCAUAAAAAUUAAUGUAAUUUAAAAUCUUGAAAUGAAAAAAGAUAUUUGAAACUAAUUGCCGGUUUGAUGUGUUUUAAAAUUCUCAUUACUGAUAUGCCAUUUUCUCGGCCAGCGGAAUGAAGCUCUCCUCGUCUUGAAAGAUUUGCAGCCCAACAGGCCUGACAAAGCGACUUACUUGGUAAAUCACAAAAAAAAUGGGUUGUGGCCAUGGACCCAGCUGUUAGCCCGUCCCAGUCAACUUAGUAGGCCCACAAGUCAGCCUCCCACCAUGGUGGGUCCCAGCUAGCAGGGGGAGUAUUCAUUUUUUUGUGCGUAAUAAGGAGGCACUUCCGGUGGGUCCGAGCUGACAGCGGGGGGAAUGUUUUUUUGCGAAAUACGUUGGCCCGUCCGGUGGGUCCCACCAGUCAGGGGGGAAAUGUUUUUUCGCGAAAUAAGGUGGCCCGUCUGGUGGGUCCCUGCUGUCAGGUGGAGGAAUAAUUAUUUUGCGUGUAAUAAGGAGGCAGUUCCUUGCGGCCGCCUGGACCCAGUUGUCAGCCUCUCCACGUACAGUACUCUUCCGAUGGAAGUCGGUCAUUGACCAUGUUGACCAUGCUGCGCCGAGAGCACCAGGGCGGUGGUCUGGACGACGGUGAGGCCUAGGAAGGGGACGACACGGAGCCGGGGAAGACGCAGCAGUGGAAGCCCGCGCGGAUAGGAGUAUGAGGGUUCAUUGGUUCGGCUGUGGUGUGAGGCUGCCGUCGCCACAGAAUAGCAGGGGGUGUGGGUGAGUAGAGGGAUGGCCUGGCCAGCGGUGGGAGUAGUACGGGGCGGUGAGGCCUCCACGGCAUCACAACCGGCCACAGGAGGCAGGAGCACGCGACACGACCGGUGCUGCUUUGGACGGUUGGAGCAAGAAGACUAGAGGUUGAAGAAGCACUGCGGCCAUUGGAUGGACAUUGUACGAUCACUGCAGCUAGAAUCGUUUAUAUUGACUAAGUUGACAAAGCCCUUAGUACGCGUCAACUUAGUAGGCCCACGGCUCGGAUUUGGCAGAGAACAUAUAGCCCAUUUGCGACUUGUAAGAAUGUACAGCCCAUUUUUUAACUCUAAUAGAAUUUACUACAGCCCAUAUACAGUUUGUUAAAAGUACAGUCCAACUUCUAGCUAGGACAACGAUUAAUAAUUUCAAACAACCGCUCAAAACAGAAUUCAAAAAAAAUUCCCACAUUUUGAUAGGAUCCGAAAUAUUUUUAUCCGAAAUUUCUAGUUAGGUUAAAUAUAAUUUCAAAAUAAAGUUGUAUUAUGUUAAAAUCCAAAGAAAUAUUGUGCGCGCAACAAGUAAUGAAAUUAAAAUUUCCAAAUUCCAAAAAUAAUAUAUUUUUCAAACUAAUUACGUGUUUGGCGCAUAGUAAUUGCCCAGUUAUUAUAAUUACAUCUCAUUUAUUAUUUCUUAAAGUCCAUUUCCUUGUUAAGCCUAAUGCAUACCUCCUAGGAAACUUUGCAGCCCAGCGGGGCGGAUAACAAGUUGACCCGGAUAUUGUGUACAACUGUCGGCCAGUUGCAUUGCUGAUGUUGAAAAAAAGGCAUGUGUAGUAUAGUACAACCUAACAUGGUUACUCAGCCCACAUUCAGCGACGCCGGAAAGGCCCAAACAAGGCUUCUGUACAACUUUUUGAAGUCACUGAGCUCAAUUAAUAACUUAAGAAAAAAGUUAGAUUACAGUGGAACCUAAUUAAAAGCUGUCACGGGCAAAUAAAUAAUUCAACGGGUCCCACUUGUGCGUGUGCGCAUGUGUGUGUGCGUGUGUGUGUGUGUGUGAGAGAGAGAGAGAGAGAGAGGCCCAUCGGUCGAUGCUCAUAAAUACAUCUUUCAGCCAUAUGCAUUGCCGAUGCUCAGUAAAAACUUGUAUAGUUGACACAAUCAUAUAGAACAUCAUAGCACACUGAACUUGCAUACAAAAAUUUCCCGCAGGCGGCACAAUCAGGAUGGAAGCAGUGGAUCGCUACGGGAAGAGCUAUGUUGAAACCAACGAAGUCGUACAUAACGGUUCAUCGUCUUUAUAAAUGACAGGGAAAUAUCUUGAAUGUUGUGCAAAGAAAACAAACAAACAACACAAUAAGUUCUGCUAGCACAUUAAGUUGACGUACAGCCCUUUCUAAAAAAAGUUCAGGUACAAAAUUAGAAUAGGUCACAAUCAAAUGUACUGGCAUAUUAGUGCUUCAGACCCAUAGCUCGGAUUUAACUAGUACUAUCUGACAAGAUUUAGUUGUUACCUCAAAUUAGAGCACAUCCAGGCAGCCAGCCCUGCCUCUUCUACCAAAGAAACAGUGGCCUCCGCCGCGCGAUGGAGUAGGCCCUGUGCCAUCCAUCGUUCCGAGCAACACGGGGAAAGUCUGACGUUGACUCCUGUAAUGGACGUCGUCAAUGGACCCUGGCACCAGCGGCGGCGGCAGGACUUCAAUUGAUGGAUUGACCACUUCUUCGACAUGCACGAACACUCGAUACAGGUACAUCCCUAACGUGGUCCGCGGCGGCCUUGGUGGCGACGAAUAGUACAACCCCGGUUCCUGCACCGGUAUCUCAACACCAAUCACCUUCGGUAUGGUGGACGGCUUCUUCAUCCAUGCCAUAAUCGUUAGAGCCCAGCAGUCUGGAGGAACAAACAUACUUACGAGCUCACCUCCAAGGUCAUUGAUAAGCUCGUUCAUGGACUCGCUGUUCCAAGCACAUCGAGGCAUGCCGUGGAAGGUAAGCUUUGUUAAAAACUCAAGCUCAAAGGGCACCGAGCCCCAUCCUGGGUGCCACCGAUCAAAGCUCACCAGCACGCCAUCGCAGAACAAACGCCGGGAAGAUUCGAACACACGACUGCAGUCGAAAGUUUUCCGGAACCUGACAAAGAAAUCAGUCGGUGGCGGACAGACUUCGACGAGCAAGUUACUUAUUUGGAUGUUGUGCGCAAUGCCAAGAGCUUUGACAAGGUCGUCCGGCGAGACGGGAGGCCGGUCGCCGUUGAUGGUUACCAUCAGCACUUUGCCGGUAAACUAGUCGUCAAGCUCUGCCAUGCCACUGUUGAGCGAUAGCACACAGCGACCGAAGGCCGGACGGACCUCAGGAUCUCCAGCUCGGAGAUCCGCGUUGAACAGUGACAUGAUAGUGCGCUUGAGUACAGGGAGUACAGGAGGGGGAUUUGGGGGAACUGGAGUAGGAAUCGAGAUUCCAGAGGUGGGGGAGGGACGGGAGACUGGGUAUGAAAAGGUAGCAUGAAUUUUGAGCACGCGCCAAUAUGCUCUCAGCGCGUAAGCACACGAAAACACCGGUGGUGCCCACAUGUCGGCCUAAGAGUCCUUAUUCUUUCUUUUUUGGAGAGCCCGGCCUUUUUUUAGGAUCUUUUGAGAGCCCGGCCUGAGAGUCAUAAUUGACCUGUUUGGCAUUGCGUUACUACUCGGCCCAUAUUCAACGACACCUCACUGGCCCAAACAAGUGUACAUCAUUGAAAAAACAGUGAGCUCAAAUUAUAUAACUUGAAAAAAGGAGAUAUACUCUGAACACUAGAGAAUGGUCAUGCCCUCAUUUAGCCCACCAGUAGUUCGAGACAAUAAACAGUUCGAAACAACGAUAUAUACAACAUUCAAACACUGACUAGUGACUACUACUGACAUAAACAGCAAGACAUGAUAGUUCAUAAGAAGUCUUGCUACACCACCAAAACGCAACCAUCUGCAGCGCUCAGACUCUCGUGAUCCAGACGAGAAUGACAUUCUAAACAGAAGCAACUAUUACAUAGAAAGAGUGACAUAGACAAGGAUGACCAAAUGACAAGGAAUAUGCAUAACAAAAGAAAGAACUACCCAUCCAGAACCAGUAGCAAAGACAACAAAGUCAUUCGAAUAGAUGAUCCAACACCAUCAUAAUUUGCAGCCCCGCUUCAGCGACCAGUGAUCCAGAGACACCAGUACUCCACCCUUUCGAUGCAACAACCCAAUUACCUAUCAACCUGAAGGCUUGAACCACAUCACUGCCUGUCGUAAUUGAGACAUCCAAGGAUCAAAGUUAAUCCGGAUGCCUUUGUCAUUCUCACCUUCUUUUGGCUGCAGGCUGUAUCAUUGACAAUCAGGGGAGUUUGCUCCCGAACUCCUAGGGCUCCCCGUGUAGACACACUUUUCCAUAGCAAACAGAGACUCUAUGCCAUCAAGGUCCUUGCCAACGGUGAUCUCCUGGUUAAUCGGAUAAUUGAGUCCGAGAAACAGAGAGUGUGAACCAAGGCUGUUUACCCGCCUCCAACUAAAAAAUCCUAAAGGCCCCAACAAGCUUGUAUCCUGCUCAUAGACGUAACAGCCACUGUCCGGAUACUCACGUAUUACACGGUGCUUGUAUACAGUGGGGUUUUUGCAAUAUAACUUUUCUGGCUCAUGUGUCCGAAUGAUCAUCAGUCAUUUGUCGUCGUCUGAUCGAGCGAGGAACCAGUUGUGCUUCCCUAUUUUUGGCAAAGGUGGUGUGAUUACAAAGGGCAGUAACUGUAGGGACACUGCAUCAUAUCAAAAAUGACAUGCAUUGUUAAUGUAAGAUCAGCAUUGUUUAGAGUAUGAGUAGGAUAAUGCAAGAAAUAGCAUUGAUAUGUCCCUGUUGGAACUGGGAGGAAAAGACAGGGAAAUGUAUACUAGGUUCGAAAAUAUAGAAGUGCCAUGCAUGGUUAUACUCAUGUUAUCUCGCAAUCAAUUCUUCACAGGAAACUACCAUGUCAUGCAUGUUAUGUAAUCAUGUUCUGUCCUCACAAACAAAUUCUUCAAGGUAACUAACAGACCAUGCAUUGUUAUAUACUCGUGUUCUGUGGGCAAAAAUUUUGUGAGGAUAUUAUUCUAGCCAUUGAUUGUUGAAGGGCGAAUAUAGGUAUCUACACAUGGUAAGCAUUGCAGGAUUUCACUACUUCCAAAUAUAGAGUUCUCCAUAUGCACAUUUACUUCCCUAAUGUAUGGUUAGAUGAAACCAACAGUGUGGUGCAUGUUUCUACAUCAUGAAAAUGAGGAAACUAACAUGGCCAUUGAUACACACUCAUAUUUAGUAGUAGUAUAUAGAUUACUGUAAAAUAAGGAUAAUAUCCAUAUAUUCCUAACCGUUUGAUUAUUCAGGGUACAAAUUGGUUGUAAUGACAUGGUCACAAUCGCAUGAAUUAACUCAUUCCAAAUAUACCUGAUUUACGGCGUCUCUAAUAUAUUGCCAUAGUUCUACUCAAAUUCUGCUCAAACAGGGAUAUGCCAAUCAUCACAAAAAGUUCAAACAGUGUCAUGGCCUCAUCAUUAACAUGAGACGGAAACAACUUACACGUGUCGUCCCAGCAAUACGUGGUGCCAUCUGCUUUGUCGAUCACGUAGAUGAUGCCAUUGUGUUCAAUAGCAUCACAGAAGUGUGUAUCAGCUUUGACGAUGAUCCACUGCAAGCCGAGUUGUCUCCAGCUAAAGAAGGCACUGGCGUAAAGAUAGGCGAAUCCGCGGUCGAACAAGGCAACUAGAUUGAAGUCUGUGUAAUUCGCAUGUCAUGUGGGCACUUGGCAUAUUACAAUCUUCUGCAAAACAAGGUCCGUCCAACUGACGUAGUAAUCUAGAUGACUUGGACCGCGAUGGUAAUACUCUAUAUAAUCCAACGGAGGAAGGAUAAUCUCAUGGGAGGUCUGGAAGUUCACGAGCACCAACUUUUUACCGUCUUCUCUGAAGGCAGCCAUCCAGUGGGAGUUCAUGCCGACCCUGUACAUACCUGCCAAGAAGUUUCGGGCGAUGGUGAUCGGAUGAUGUCGAGGGAAAUGAUGUACGGUGACACACUACAUACAUGCAAAGAAGUUUCGGCUAAUGGAGAUCGGAUUGAAGUCGACGAGCAUCAUGCACGCCUCCGUAUCAUGGUGAGCCAAUCUCGCAAGACCAGAUAGCAGCAAGCAGGGUGUCUUGAAAAGCUUAGGCCUCGCUUCGACGAUGGUCGUGUGCAUGUCCCUCGAGCAUGCAGCCAGCCGCAGGGCGGUCAACAUAUCCAUACACGAACAACAGAGGUCGAGGAUGUCACUGGGGAUAUUGCUCCAAUCGCAGCUCAUAUGGAUGUUGCGCGGUUCACGUUCAGCCAUGGUGGAGUUUGGAAGGGGGCUUGAUUUACGGGGGAGAAGGAUGUCGGUGCUGGAGCGGCUAGCGAGGGAAUAGUGGUACUGGGGGAGGCGAGUGAGGCGACGGUACACGGGGGCACAGUUAGAUGGAGACGGAGACAGAGAAGGAGAUGGAGAUGGAGAUGGAGUGGUGCUAUGGGAGCGGAGAGGGAGACGAGGUGAGGCACCAAUGUGCUAUAAAGCGGCGGUGACAGACUGCACAGUGCAUAGGGUGAGGCUGACUUUGGUAACCCGAACACGCUGCCUCGCCUGGACUAGUGUCAGGCGCAGGGUGUUGUCACUUCACUGUGAGGACUGGAUGAAUAGUAUUUUGGCCAUCAAGUGUACCACAGUUGUACUACUACUACUAGUAGUAGGAAUAUGAGUACUCCAGUAUUGUAUAGCGGAAAUAGGUCUCCCGUGCUAGCAUGCCUGUUCACUUCAUCGUUCAGGUAUCAUCCAUAUUGCGAGCAGAGCCAAAUUCUCGUGCAUGCCCAAUCAACGCCCUGCCGCGAUGCAUGCAGUGGUCGUUCUGGUGCAUCAAGGACGGCAUGCAGAUCGUUCCACACUUAAGAAGAGGAAAAAUGGAAAGGUAGAACGCGGUAGCAGAGGAAGAGAACGCUGGCUAACGAGGAUGGGAGGGGAUCGAGCAGGAAGUUAAUGCUCCACGCCUAAAGGUUUCGAGAUAGCUGCAAGGUCCAAAGAGCUUGUUGCAAAGCCAGAAGAGGAGGAGAAGGAGAAGAAGGAGAAGAAGGAGAAGAAGAAGAAGAAGGAGAAGAAGAAGAAGAAGAAGAAGAAGAAGCAGAAGAAGGAGAAGAAGGAGAAGAAGGAGANNNNNNNNNNNNNNNNNNNNNNNNNNNNNNNNNNNNNNNNNNNNNNNNNNNNNNNNNNNNNNNNNNNNNNNNNNNNNNNNNNNNNNNNNNNNNNNNNNNNNNNNNNNNNNNNNNNNNNNNNNNNNNNNNNNNNNNNNNNNNNNNNNNNNNNNNNNNNNNNNNNNNNNNNNNNNNNNNNNNNNNNNNNNNNNNNNNNNNNNNNNNNNNNNNNNNNNNNNNNNNNNNNNNNNNNNNNNNNNNNNNNNNNNNNNNNNNNNNNNNNNNNNNNNNNNNNNNNNNNNNNNNNNNNNNNNNNNNNNNNNNNNNNNNNNNNNNNNNNNNNNNNNNNNNNNNNNNNNNNNNNNNNNNNNNNNNNNNNNNNNNNNNNNNNNNNNNNNNNNNNNNNNNNNNNNNNNNNNNNNNNNNNNNNNNNNNNNNNNAGAAGAAGGAGAAGAAGAAGAAGGAGAAGAAGAAGAAGGAGAAGAAGAAGAAGGAGAAGGAGAAGAAGAAGAAGAAGAAGAAGAAGAAGAAGAAGAAGAAGAAGAAGAAGAAGAAGAAGAAGAAGAAGAAGAAGAAGAAGAAGAAGAAGAAGAAGAAGAAGAAGAAGAAGAAGAAGAAGAAGAAGAAGAAGAAGAAGAAGAAGAAGAAGAAGAAGAAGAAGAAGAAGAAGAAGAAGAAGAAGAAGAAGAAGAAGGAGGAGGAGGGCAUUAUGGAUGGAUGAACUAUUUCCUCUCUUGUAAAAAAAAUAUUCCCUCUCGGUGUAUAUUGAUAUAGAUGGACUAUUUCGAUGGUGUGCAUGUCUUUGGAACAGAGUAGUAGCGUGGGUCCGCUUGACUAUAAGGAACUAUUUAUCCGCAUAUAUAGCUUUCUCUGAUACUCCUUCAAGUGAUCGGUAUGCAGUGCAUGUGUCCGUAGACAUGACAGCUUGUCCAUGGAAGUUCAACUACGGCGACCAUCAUGUUUCAUCUCGUGAUUCCCACGACACCGCUCCAACCCACGGCACCACGCCCCCCAACAUGCGCCUCACCCCUCUCGACCGCACCGCCCCUCUGCCUUUGCGUGCAUGACAUGUGGGCCACCUAAAAUGCGGCGAGCAUCAAGUUUCUACCACAGCCACCCGUGAUUCCCACGACGCCGCUCGAACCCAUGAAACCACACGUCCCCCGACCUGUGGCUCACCCCUCUUGGCCCCACUGCCCUCUACCUUCGGGACCAUUACAUGUGGACCAGUCACCUAUCGGGUCCACAUGUUAUUGACUCAAAGGUAGGUGUAGUAAGGCGCUGAAGCACAGUCCCGACAGCCCUGAGAGGGAAAUGUAACUCCUGCGCCAGGGCUUGUGGUGCUCCCGCAGCACAAACUCGUGCCAAACUCGAGAUUUGUUUCUUUACUAUACAUGCACGCAACAAUUUAAUGGACAUUGUAAUCUCAACAUGUGAUGGGGAGCUCUAAAUUUGAAUUUGAAACUUAUAAAACGAAAAGAUUCAAAACAAAUAAACUGGGAGAGAGGGAGUAUAUCGUAGGAUGUGCCCCAUACAAAAUAAGUCCCCUGGUUUGUCACCGCGAAGAUGCGGUUAGAAAGGAGCACAACUUCUUCCUACUCGUACGGCAACAAAUCGGCCGCAGACAGCAUGGUCCGCCUUUGACCGCCAUGUGCAAGGUUCGUGCUAUCUUAUUCAAUCUCACCGUGGUUCCAUCGUACCAAUUCAUGUGGUGGCCCAUUGCAUGGCUGAUCCCAAUGUUGGACAAAGGUUCUACGGGAACGGUGUCACCGUUGUAAAUGUUGUGCAAAUUGAUGUUGAUAUCCUCCCGUACAUAUGCAAGCCAAUCUCCACUCGCACUGAGCCUAGCCUGUGAAACAGUGGGCAGGGGGAGAAUUAGGAAAUGGACACGUAAGUAGUCUUUAUAAUGCAUUUACUACGUGAUCAAACUCAUCUUACCUGCUCAUCGGAGGAAAUCCGAGUGCCCCUCAACAUUGGCAUCUCAAGGGGCAUCAACUUGCAACUACGGCUACGCCGCACUGGAGAGACCCCCAAGGAAACAUCCUCGUGCGCUCCACGGAACAUCAAGAUGCAUUUGUAUGAGUAGUUUAUCUUGUGAGAGAAAAGGAUGAAUGAGGGAAGGCCUCUAGAGAUAGAGAUGGACACUACUACUACCAAUGUGCUGGCACGUGCGUUGCAAUGGAUCCAAACUAGUAGAAUAAUACUUGUUCACGUGCUUGAAAUAUAAACACUCUAGUUUUGAUAUACAUGUGUCAGCAGACACGACAGCUUGUCCAUGGAAGUUGAACCACGGUGACCAUCACGUUUCUUGUUUCUACCACUGCCACACCCACACACGAUUCCCACGACGCCGCUCCAACCCACGGCACGACGUCCCCGGCGUGGACAUGGAUCCUCUGACAUGGCUAUCACUGCCUUGCCCUGCCUUUCCUUCGCUGACAAGUGGGACCCACGCUUAUGGGUCCCACAUGUCAGUGACAGAAUGGUAGGAUUGUUCGUGCCCCUCAUCCCUCUCAGCCCCACCGCUCCUCUGCCUUUGUGUGCAUGACAUGCGGGCCAGCUGAACUGCGGCGACCAUCAACUUUCUACCACAGACACACCCGAUUGGACGCGGUUUGCCUGCUCCGCUGCUGUGCUCCGAUCCGUACUCCCGCACCAUCGAAUUUUCAUCCAGCGGCUGUGACACAUUUCAUCCCGGGCAUCAAUCCUCAGCUGGACUACUUAUGUACUACAGGUAGUACCCGCCGGGUGGCUACAGCUUUGUAUAGAAAGUUAAAAAGAAAGUUAAUUCCAUGUAUGAUUGUCCCUCUAUAAAAAAUUAAUUGCAUGUACAGUGUACACGUGACUUGCAGGGUGGCUACCGCUUUGUACAGAAAGUUAAAAAGAAACAAGUCCAUCCUUAAUAUUCUAAGUACUCUGUGGGUUCCACUAUCAGUAUAGUAGCGAAAGAAGUAUAUAUUAAAUAAGUAGAGUAAUAUAUAAUAUAAAAAUCUGAAGUUAAAAGACAUAAUUCGAACUCAUGUCAUCGCGUUGCGAGCAUCCGGCGCUAACCAGCCCAGCACAUUUUUGUUGUAGACCAUGCUGGAGAUAUAUCUCCAUGUCUACUCUUAUAUAUACUCCAUUCGUUCCUAAAUAUUUGUCUUUUUCAGAUUUCAAAUGGACUACCACAUACAGAUGUGUAUGUAGACAUAUUUUAGAGUGUAGAUUCACUCAUUUUGCUACGUAUGUCUUUUCAGGAAGGGGUCAGAUUUGUCCUUGAUUUAUUUACGAGGCAUCCAGAUGGCACUGCACCGCCAAGAAAAGAGGGUAACAUCAAAAUUAUGGACUACUUUUUUGAGUAUGUUUGUAAGGUCCGGUCAUAGUCACUUGUUAAAAUCUCUAAAAAGACAAAUACUCCCUCCGUCUGGAAAUACUUGUCAUCAAAAUGGAUAAAAGGAAAUGUAUCUAGACGUAUUUUAGUUUUAGAUACAUCUCUUUUUAUCCAUUUUGAUGACAAGUAUUUUUGGACGGAGGGAGUAGAAAACAGAGUUGGUGAUGAUGGUGUGCGUGCCAUCCUGCAAUAUAGGCCGUCGGAUUUAUAUCUAACGGAUAGGAAAGAAACUAUGGUAAUCUUGCAAAAAUAUACCCACACAUCUCUCCAUGUUCGCAAAUAAGGCCUUCCCUCGUUCAUUCUUUUCUCUCACAAGAUAAACUACUCAUACAAAUGCAUCUUGAUGUUCCGUGCAACGCACGGGCAGCUAGCUAAUUACUUUUAAAAUAGUUGCUGUGAUAAUUGGGUUGAAGUGAUAUAUUUUAUGUCUGUCCCGAAUGAUUUCAGAUUCACUAGUAGUAACAAAGAAAAGGUUGCCUUGUUAAUUAACAGAAAACAGGGUGAAAACUAUCACAUGAGGCCGGUAAAAACAAGGCACACUGGGUUUAGCGUCAUCGUCACUACAGCUGUGCGCGUGCGAGAAGUCUACAUAUCGAGGGGGCUACCGUGCGAGGCACCGAGACACAAUAUUUGAGAGAGAAACAAAUUGACAAAUUAUGAUCGGAUCGAGUUUUCACCCUUCUGCUGUCAUUGUUGGGGGGGGGGGAUGGAGAGAAAGACGUAUCGAGAGUGUGCGCGGUAGGCACAGAGGCACAACUAGCGAGUGUGUGUGUGUGUGUGUGUUUGAAAGAGGAGUAGAUAGAUUAUUAUCAAGAUCGAUGUGCCACCCUACUCCUUAGGUGCCGGGCAGUGUGUGUGUAUGUUUGAGAGCUAAUCCAGUCGAUAGAUUAGUAUCAAGAUCGAGGUGUCACCCUGCACCUUCGGUGUCAGGUAGUGUGUGUGUGUAUGUAUGUUUGAGAGAGAAGCCAGUCGAUAGAUUAGUAUCAAGAUCGAGGUGUCACCCUACUCCUUUGGUGUUGGGAAGUGUGGGUGUGGGGGGGGCAGUAAUGCUCACAUAUCUCUACUCUUAUAAAUAAACAGAGUUGGUGAUGAUGGUGUUCCUGCAAUAUAGGCAUCCGAUUUAUAUCCUACGGACAGGAAGGAAAAUAUGGCAAUUUUGCAAAAAGAUACCCACACCCCUCUCCGCAUUUGCAAAUAAGGCAUUCCCUCGUUCAUCCUUUUCUCCAACAAGAUAAACUUCUCAUACAAAUGCAUCUUGAUGUUCCGUGCAACGCAUGGGCAUCUUGCUAGUAGGGAGAAGGAGUUUGUGUGACACAUAUCUAGCUAUAUUAAGGGAUAGGUAGAUAGCAUAUGUGUGAGAGACAUUAUUAUACUUUGAGACAUUAGUGGUUGUGGGUGGGCAGAAUUAAAGGGGUGGGCGUGUUAGACAUAGAGAGCGUGUGUGUUUUUGUGUGAGAGACUUGUAGGACGGGGUAGAAAGACGAAUUUAACCUUGACGGAGGGAGAGAAAUACACAAAGUGCACGUGUGUGAUUCCGAUGCCCACAGGGAAAUGAGAUAUGUAUGCGUGUGAGAAAGAUUGCACAAUUCAUUCAUGUAUCACUAUCUAGCGAUCGUGGACGUGCAUCGUUUGAACAUAAGUCAAUAUCUACUUCGUAUCGUGGCCAAAGGUACAAUAUCGAUUCAACGCUACAAAGAUUGGACACUCACAUAUCACAUUUUUUCUAUUUAAAUAAACCUUUUCAGUUGUGCAUGCCAAAGUUACAGUGAUGUUUCUUCAAACAACCAAUGUAGCUAUCAUGUACAUGCACCAUUGUUACUCUUGCAUUCAAAUUCAUUAGUCUUGGAUGAUUUAAGUUUCUAUUUUGAAGUAAUAUAUGUAAUAUUCAUAUAUGAAUUCAACGGGUACGCAAUUUAUGAUAUGGAGGCUAUGUAAUCAUAUGAGGUAACACUUUUAAGUAGCUAACUACAAUAUCCAUUUCUUUUCGUGCGCCUCUACACUAACACGUCAAUGCAUUAUGUUUAAAGUAAAUAACCAAUGGUACUAAAUUAUCUAUUUACACGAGAAAUACAUAGGCUGAGCGUUUGAUCUCCUUUUUUGUGAACGUGCCACUACACCCGUACGAUUGGCCGCGCCCGUGUGAACGUCCAAGUUAUCGGCACAUCAUCCCGAGUUAUUGUCUUUUUUUCUGGGGUGGACUUCACACCAGUUAUUAACUGCUGACGCGUGCCCCGUGUACACAGUCUAGCAUGACCUUCCCACUAGCACGGUCCAAAAUUAGUUGAAACUGGAUACGAACGAUCCCACGGGCGGAAAAAUCUCCCACCUCAUUCUAAAAUUUCCACCACCUUAGUCUUUAGCAUGCAAAAUCCCCCUUUUGUCCUUGGUGCACAGAGACCAACAGUUACAAUACCGCCCUCAUCUACAUGAUAGGUCGGGGCUGCUUUGGUAACUUCCGGUUCCCCCCACUACACAGCACCCCCAUUUCCUCUCCCCCUCCCGCAAAAAUGACUAACUCCACAGCACCAGAGCAUCUUACAUCACGCCAUCCGUACUUCAUCGCCCUUUCUCCCCUCCCCUCUCGAAACCCUAGACUGCUCAUCCACCAGCGUACCAUAGCCCAUUCACUGCCAGCGACGUCCACCUCGCCGGAUCUGCUUCUGCGGCCGCAUCUACCCCUCCCACCUCCCCUAGAAACAAGUAGACUGCUCAUCCACCACUGUACCACAGCCCAUUCAGUGCCGGCCUUGUCCAUGGCGCCGGAUCUGCUUCGCCGGUACUCUCGUCAACUGCCGCGCAUCUGCAGCGGCUCAUUCGUACUCCCCACCGAAGACGCUUCAUCCACACCCCCCGGAGCUGCCCCACCGACAUCCCCGUCGAUGGCCUCUGAUCCUCUUCGUUGACACCUUCUUCAACCCUACCGGAGCCGCUUCGCCGACACCAUCCUCAACCCUACCGGAGCCGCUUCGCCGACACCAUCGUCAACCCUACCGGAGUAUCGCCUAUACCAUUCUCAACCCUACCGGGGCCGCUUUGCCAACUCACAAGUCCACGGCCUCAGAUCCGCUUCCUCGCACCCUCAUCCAACCUACCGGAGCAGCUUCUUACGCCCCCUCCAUGGCCGCAGAUCUGCAUCAUCGACACCACCCUUAACCCAACCACCGGAGCAGCUUCUGAUGCCCCGUCCAUGGCCACAGAUCCGCAUCGUCGACACCAUCCUUAACCCAACCACCAGAGCAGCUUCUGACGCCCCGUCCACGGCCGCAGAUCCGCGUCGUUGACACUAUCCUUAACCCAACCAUCGGAGCAGCUUCACCUACGCCCUUGUCCACGGCCACAGAUCCGCUUGGCCCACACCAUAGUCCACCCUACCGGAGCCGCUCCACAAACACCCUACUCGACGGUUCUAGAUCUCCUUACCGGACCCUGACAGCCAGCGCAGCGUCAUCACCCUCGACGUUUCUAACCUGAUUCCCACCGUCUGGAGAGAUGCCAAGCACCCGCCACGGCCUAGGUACUUGUCACCUUUAAAUCCGUCCAGCAUCACCUGCCCGAUGUACUUCAAAUAUACUAACCGGUUGUUGUUACCUAUUAUGCAGCUGGCAAAAACUACAAGGAUGAUGUUUCUUCUGGAUCUAACAGCUUGGCCAACCAAGAUCCUGGACUGAGGCAUUGCUAUGAUCUUGUAAGCGCGUCUCUCUCUCUCUGUUGUAUUGUUCUGUGCCUGCCAGCGUGCUUUGCUAGGAUUUUCGACCAGUAUCCCUUUGUGCAGACAAUGAUUUCUACUACUGGAUGCUAAAUUAGAUAUAUAGAUGUCAUACAUGAUACUACCUCGUACCUCUGUUCCUAAAUAUAAGUCUUUCUAGAGAUUCCACUAUAGGCUACAUACGGAGCAAAAUGAGUGAAUCUACACUCAAAAAUGCAUCUAUAUACAUCUGUAUGUGGUCCAUACUGGAAUCUCUACAAAGACAUAUAUUUAGGAACAGGGGCAGAACAUUACACAAAAUCGUAGGUGGCAUGUAGGAAUUCCAGUGCACUAUAUUAGGCUCCCUUAGAGUGCCUGGUAGUCCAGCAUACAGAGUCAUGGCUAGUUUAUGGUACGCACACAAUCGUUAAUUGGUGGUUUAAAUUUGCGCAAGGGAUAUGCAAUGUAGUAUCAUGUAGAGAUGUCUGAAAUUAGCCGUGUCAACUUGCAGAUAGGGUUACACAAUGAAAAAGUACAAGAUGUAUGUGGCAAUUUCAUGGAACAUCGCAAAAAAAGGAGAGGCAGCGGUGAGCCUAUACAGUGUGCUAUGGUAUGUCACUCCUCCAUUGCAAUCAUCGUGACAUGUUAUUUGUAUGCCAGUUCUAUUAGCCAAGUUUCUUAGGGACAGUUAUUAUGAGUUAUCCUAAGAAAAUAAGCACCUGUGAAUAUAAGCUCCAUGUAAUAAGCCAACCAGUUCUUUUGAUUGUGUUUUCAGCUUAUCUUUGAUAUGAUUAGUGGAAAGUAUAGGUUGCAUUAUAUAUUUUUCAUUUUGCUGCCCAUAUGGAAAUUAAUUUGACUUGCAAACAUCACAAUUGAACCCAGUGCAGUAAUUAAUAUGAUAGGAAAACAGACCAUCACUAUUUGCUCAAAAUGCAAAUACGAAGAUGCCAUCUACUUGGCACAAUCUACUUUGGUCAAUGUUUUCCACAGAGAUCCCAUUGCCUAAUUUAAACAAAGAAUGCAUGACCCACAUUUAAAUGAAGAACAAUUAUUUAUUAAAAUUCGAUGGUCCAAGUGGCUGGUUAUUACCAUAUAGCAGCACCACCUGAAAGCAUCAUAUAGCAGCAGCAGCAGCUCAUAGCAACUUAUCAUACAGCAGCAGCAGUCUGCAAUUCAUCAUAUACCAGCAGCAGCUCAUAGAAAUUCAUCAUAUAGCAGCAGCAGGAGCAGCUCAUAGCAAUUCAUCAUAUAGCAGCAGCAGGAGCAGCUCAUAGCAAUUCAUCAUAUAGCAGCAGGAGGAGCAGCUUGUAGCAACUCAUCAUAUAGCAGAAGCAGCAGCUCAUAGCAACUCAUCAUAUAGCAGCAGCAGCUCAUAGCAACUCAUCAUAUAGCAGCAGCAGCUCAUAGCAAUUCAUCAUAUAGUAGCAGCAGGAGCAGCUCAUAGCAAUGCAUCAUAUAGCAGCAGCAGAAGCAGCUCAUAGCAAUUCAUCAUAUAGUGGAUCAGAAUGAAAAUUUGGCAAAAAUCAGAGGAGAUCCUCACCUUGUUGGAUGAGCUCAUCCUUCAAUAGCACCUCAAGGCCAUGGCCUGGGAGGAGGGGAGGGGGAAUAAGGUGCCUUCUGCCGCAGUGUGGCAUCAGCUGUAGUUGUGCAGCGCCCGCCGGAGUAGUGCGUUGGACGAACCAAAGUGGAGCAGCUGCUGGAGACCAUGAGAAUGAGGGGCGGCGCCAGAGGGAGGAGCACCCAGGGAGAUUUGCCCCUAACCGUCGGCCAUGUAGCCUAGCUAGACAUAGCAUCGUCGAGGACCAGGCCAGAUGGGACCAGUGGCGAUGGCUCGCUGGAGGAACCCUAGUGCUGCAGGCAGGGGAUCGAGGUAGAGGGAAAGGGGAGAGGAGAUGCAAGCGGGCAGGGCAAUGAAUGCUUGCGUGUUUGUUUUCACUUGAGGGUCAGGUGUGACACGAGCGUCAGCAAUUGCAUUUUGAGUGUAAUAUAGGCAGACAACAGAGUCAUUUCACUAUUCCCCUUCCCUUUAAUUUUUAGUGAGGUUCUACCCGAAACACCCCCCUCCAAAGCGAAAUUAGUUAAGCCCAAGCCCAUAACUCAAAAAUGACUUCUUUACAUCUUUUAUGGCUUAUUUUGACAAUAUGCCCUGAAAAGGUGGAAUCAAACUGGCCCUGAUUUUCAAUUGUGCGUGCAAUUAUGAAUCACUCAUGCCUGCUAUCUGUACAUUUAGGCAUCAUCAUACAUGGCAUAACCUAAUACAUGUGCAUUCCAUUGUAGAAUCUGGAAUAUGCAAUGUUUAUGUUAGUUCAUACGUUGCACAUGAUGUUUAAAUGCCCCUUAAAUCUGGUCAGUCAAGUGAUGGUCUUUAAGCCUCCUUCUUUGCUUCUUUUCUUAAUAUGUAAGAUUUGCUCACACAUCUGUUCAAUUGCUUGUUUGCAUCAGCCAGCCAUACUAGGACUGUUUGCUUUGAUUACUUGUUAUUCUUGACCUAACACUCUAACAGUGCUUGUCAACGAUUUAAACACUAAGGGCUGCUGUAGUGGGGCCUUGUCUAACUCAUAGGUGACAUAAAGGUUUGGCUGUACACUAUAGUAGGCUCUCCAAGAGUACCUGGAGAUCCAGUUCGAAGGUAUGCCUAGUUUUUACAUAGUGCAGACAUAGUAAAUGCUCAUUUCAUUGUGUGCAAGUGCAAGAGAUGCGGCAUGUUUCAUUAUGUGGUGUUGUUUUGUUAUAAUCUCAUCCUUUUGUGUUCACAGACUGGAAAGUAUGCAUAUUUAUCUUCCAAGGAGAUGAGUAACUAGUUUGUGUCACCUUGCAGAGGGGGUGCAAUGAAGAUAAGAUUGAGGAUUUCCAAGUACAAGAUGUUAGGAAGGAGCCUUGCAAGAGAAGUAGGAGCUGUGCUGAGCCUCUUCAACCUGCUAAGGUAAGUCACUGUAUGCAACUCAACAGUUCAAUUCCUUGUUUGUUUCAGGCAUAGUUAAUUUUCUCUUUUCAAUUGCUUUAUUUGUCCUCACUUAAUGAGAUACCCAAAUAAUCAUGCCUGAUGUUCGGUACUUGUAUCACUAUUAGUUGACAUAAUUAAAGGCCUUACCAUUUAAUUACUCUGCCGAAGUGUGCCUGAAGCUUUGAAGUCUAUUAACCAACUAUUAUUGCAUGAGGCUCACAAUCUAGUUUAUACUACGCUAAUGAUUGCAUAGUUUUGCCUGAUGUAGUAUGUUUGUAUGAAACCCUUUGCUGUUCAUUAUGCUCCCUAAGACUUUAAUUGAGGUACAGAAUGGCCAACUGCUUGCUUACUUAUACGCAAUGUGUUGUCUAAAUUUGUAACUUGUCUGUGUUUUCGAUUGGGCCCCAACAUCAUGCUCCUCUGGUGAGCUAAGAGGGAUUUCUGUAUGCAGGCUGCAUAGACUAUCUUUUUUAUAAUUUUUAUAAUAUCACCUGCUUAUGCUUCAUGACGUGUAACAUUUUUUUGUGAAAGUGACGUGUAACAUUAUAGUUAGUCAUGUUUUGCCAUGUAGUACAAAAUAGUGUCUUGUUCGCUUCACUUUUGUAACUAUAUUUUUGCCCUAGUCAUGUGUACUUACAGAAACAUUUCAGGAUGAAGUGACAUCAACACAAAAAUCUGCGAGCAGUGCGGCAUGGCCGUUACCGAAUGAUUAUGGAUUGGAAUUGGAAUGUGCUGAUGUUCUUGAGCAUCAACUAGAGGUGGCAAGACAAUGUGUACAUGAUUGUCAACGUAUAAUCAACAAGUUGAGACUGGACAUGCAGGUAUUAGAUGGAGGAGUCAAAAAAUGAAACAAGACACCGAGGUAACCAUGAAGGAAUUGGAGAUUUUGCAGACUGAAAUUUGUGCUAUCUGAAUCCGGCCAAUCCUAUUUUCUGAAGAGAUUAUAGUUCAAAUGGAGUUAAGUUGAUGCGCGUCCAUGAUGUAUGAGUUGUAUUUGCCCAGUGUAUGUAAUUUGUUGUUUGUGUAUGCUUUAUUAUCACCUGUGCCGAACCAUUAUGCCCAAUGGGUAUAAUCGGCUGUAGUUUCUUUAUUGUAUAGUGUAGGAUUAUUCUACCUUUCUAUGCCUUGAUCUCUUUGUUGUAUAGUGUAUGCUUUUUAGAGGUGAUAGUAUUGAGUAGGAUAAUUCUUUGAAUAUGCUAUAUCGUUUAAACGGGGCCAACUCGCCCGACCAUGGCCCUUCACGGGGCCGUCGGAUCCAUGGGCCUUCUACGUUUCGUAGGAUCCAUGGGCCUUCUACGUCUCGUAGGAUCCAUGGGCCUUCUAUGUCUCAUAGGAUCCGUGGGCCUUCUACAUCUCAUAGGAUCCAUGGGCCUUCUAUGUCCGUAGGAUCCAUGGGCCUUCUACUUCACGUAGGAUCCAUGGGCCGCCGACUCAUUUAUGGGUCUUGUACGGGCCUUUAAUGGGCCUAGAUGGGCCUAUAAUGGAAAUCGUACGUUUUAUGGGCUGACCAUAACGGGCCGUUAAUAGGCCGUAUUUGGUGAUGCUAUGAAAAUGGCCCAACAGACUAACGGACCACAAACGGGACGACUAUAACGACGGGCUGCAUUUGGCCCACAAGCAGAAAAUGACAGUAACAGGCCGUAAGUAACCGAAUGCUACAAAUGAGCCCAAGAAUAAAUGGGCCCUCAGAAGGCCGAAAGUUAACUUGGGCUAGAAACGGCCCAACGGAAUAACGGUCUGUUAAUGGGUAUAAAGUGUUACACUGUUCAUUAGGGGCCAGUUUCACCGCGGGCCGUUAAUGGGUGUAAAGUAAUACACUGUUCAUUACGGGUCAGUUUCAGCACGGGCCGCUACUGGGCCAGGAGUUACAAAGGGCCUCAUAUGGGCCGAAAGAUGUCAUGGGCCAUACAUGGGCCAGAAGUGAAAAUGGGCUGGAAUCAUAUUGGAUGGCCCAGAUGACGCUACUGGGCUUAAUUCGCAUAGGGCGUAACGGGCCUUGGGUUAGCGGGCUGUAAAUGGGCUAUAUGCUAACAUGUCGUUAACAGGCUUUCCAUGGGCCGGCCCGCCAGCUUUUGACCAAGUCAAACGGGCCGGCCUUUUCACAGGAAUGGGUCACUGUUGGGCCGUGCCACGUGUCGACGUAUCAUAGGCGCCUUCUGUCUAGUGAGUGGAUGAAAUAUGUCCCAAUGAUGAGCCGACAUGUGUUUCCUCCAGCCAAUGAUGAUUUUACACGUGGAAAAUCCCCAUUGGUCGGGGCUGUUAACGGGUUAUCGGAUCCAAAACCCAACCCGAUAGCUUAACGGCGUUCCGUUACGGUGGAUGCCACGUGUCGGUCACCCUUGACGAAAGCACUUCUGUGACGCGUGAUUUAUCGUCAUGGAAGUGGACACUUCCGUGAUGAUAAUUUUGGUAACUAGAUGAUACCCCACGCGUUGCUGCAGGAAUUUGAUGCUUAUAAUGUUUAAUAAACUAUUUAUAGAAUAGUAGCAGGUCGUUGAAAAAAAUGGUUGGGAACGUAUAUAUAGUGUGUUGGAUACAGUUCUAUGGGCAAAGGCGGAUUAUAAAGUGUCCCAUAUAAACUGUCAAAUAUACAUGGUCUGUAGAUGAUAGCAUGAACUAUUCAUAAGUUUUUUUUUGCGGGUGAACUAUUCAUAAGUUUUGAUCAGGUGCAAAAAAUAUAUAGUAAUAUGAUUAAUAAAAAAUCAUUCCAGUACAAAUGCCAUCGCCAUGCAUGUGGUAUAUUCCACAAUCUUUUCUCUGUUGGCACAUACCAAUUGGCAAUCCAAUAUAGUUACCCUCCAACAUACAGCAGCUUACACAACAACAAAAAUAGUUGAAUAUUUUUCGCUAUGAAAAAAAGGCAGGAGGCACAUUAUUGCUACUGGUUUACGCAUAUAGAAAAGACUUCUACCUAGAAGCAAGGAAGAAGUAUGCUACCUGAAGGUACUGAAUAGCAGCUCAUGGAUUCACUAUCUUUUUGGAUAAUAGCACAGAGAUCUAGGAAAAACAAAAGGUAGUAUUUAGGUUAGCAGCAAAAUAACAAUGCGGGUAUAAGAAGACAGUAGCCAACUUCCAACAUAGCAAAAUAUUGAUGUAAGAGGACAGAAAAUGUUGAUAAGAAUAUUAGGCCUGUUCGGAGACUCGCUAGCUUCUUCAAAACUUCUCAUAUCCAGCUUCUCACCCGACUUCUCACUUCACCUGGCGUCCACCAAACCAUUCUGGAGCGAAGGCAGCUUCUUCCCGCACACGGGUCCAAAAAAAGAGAAACAAGCCGGGCCUGGUUUGGGCUUGCGAUUUGGGCUUGGGGGCACGGUCGUCCCAGUGCUGCUCCUGGCUCGGAGGGUCCGGACCGCUCCUCCGGACGUCAAUGGCGUCGGGACUAGCACCUCUGUGCCAUGGGGUCGCAGCUCCUGGCACCCCACACGAUUCGCCCCGCCGAGGAUUGGAUCUGGUGGGAAACAAGCUGGGACGACCGAAUCUGUAGGAAGAGGCGAGGAUCCGGUCGGCAACGGGGGCAGCCUGGCGCGGCGGCGGGGAACGGUGGCCGUGAGUGUUCGAGGGGAGAAGACGAGGUAGAUGGGAGAUGGGAGCGAGCGGUUCUGUUGCGGGUUCGAUCAAGGGACGAGGUGACGAAUCGUUUUCUCUCGCGGUGGCACACGGCUGUAAAUAACUACAACUUCUAAUUCACAAAAACGUGGAGCUGGGAAUCGGUAGCUUCACAAAAAUGCACUACAGCCCGUCGUGGCUUCCUAGAUUUCAGCUUCUUGAAGCUAUUGCGUUCGGGCUAGCUUCGGGCUGAGAUUUUCAGAAGUUUGAAGUGGGAGGAGAUCAGAACAGGUAAGAUGCAAACUUGCAACAUCUAUGGAGCUAUCUUAUUGAGGGUGGCAUGUAGAUAAUAAGCAACCAUGUAAAACUGGAGCAGCGUCAGGGCACUCGACCAUGCAGGAUGGACUGGCGAGAGGAAAGAGAGAGAGUUGGAGAAGCAUAUGCAUCUUGUAGGAGCCAUUCGGCUGAUGCUUACGCGCAACAACACUAACGGCAACCUUAGAGAAAUCAUGGAAGAGUGCGAUGAAGAAGAGGAUAAUGACCACAACAGUUGAAAUUUUCAAUCGGAACAUGCAUAUACACCCAGCCAUCAUGGAGACAACAGGGAUGAAGCCAAUCGACUACUUAAAGUGGAGAAUCUAUUACAACACCCCAUCAAUUACUCUUUCUUGGAGAAGAUGAAUAGGUAGAGAAAAAACCAUUAGUAAUUUGUGCCAAUGAAGGGGAGGUGACCAAGACGAAGGAAAUUAAGGAGACAAAAGAGCACAGAGUGCCAAUGAGAGCAAGGCAAGGGAAACAAAUAGUACCGGCAUACCAUGGAGGAGAUGAGUAGUCAAUCCGCCUGUGAGUCUUCGAGGUAGAUUUUAUACCUACAAUAUGCAUGUAGGGAAAAUGGAGGAGGGGCUGAGGGUCUGCAGCAUAGGUAGCAGCAAGGUUUCCAUGGCUCUACGAUGGCCUCGGGAAGGGGUGUGGAGGGCAGCUGCGGCUGGGCCAGGCUGAUAUAGUGAUAUGGAUGGUCGGAGGAGACCGGCUGGGCAAAGCCGACAGUGGUAUCUAUGGAGAAACUAUUGGCAUGCGGAAGGAGCGGUGCCACAGCAUGCAUCGAGUCUCCUGUUUGGGUGGUGGCGAGGCCGCUCGUGCUGGAGCUCACUUCCGGCGGCAGCAUAACAGGGGGAAGAUGUGGUGCAGUGCAAAAGGCAGCAGCGUUCGCUGGAGAGAAAAUACGGUGGGAGGGCGUGGAGACUUUAAGACUGCCUCGUACGUUACAAAAAAUGAAAGAAGAAAGGGAGAAGAAACGGCGACUUGGCACCGCACUAAACAAAAAUUGAAUGGAACGAUUUGUUGGUCUGCUAGUCUUCUUGUCUUCGGCUUGGCAACAGAAUGCUUGAAAAAGUUGUUGCUGUGGCAGGGACUGAUGAUGAGGUGGGAUCGUUUUGUUAGGUAUAUAGAAUAGGAAAAAUAAAAUAAUUGAUGAUAUGGCAUGUAUAAUGGAUAGGCUGCAUGUCAAGAGAAAUAUGGUAGUGGGGAUGAACUAUUUAAGUAUUAUAGAUUUCAUGGAACACUUCUACGACAGCACAGGUAUGACUAUCUUGAUUCUGUCAUAAAAUCGUCAUGGAUGUACAUGCAUGACAAAAAACGCGACCUACUGUGACAAACACGUAUCAUCGCGGAAGUGUAUAGGUCUUUAGAGCAGACAACGCUAUCUGACAAAGCGCAUGUCUUGUUGGUUACGGAUAGCUCGUCAGAGGAGGAUUCAGAGACAGAUGACCAGUCCUAUCCCCCCCCCGAGGUGCAUGCUCCAACUUGGCAGGAUUAUAUUGCUCAUAUCGUGCAUAUGGUAUCUUGCAUUGCGAUGUCAUUUGCUUAGUUUAGACAUGUUUUGUGUGAAUGCCACCUGUUUAGUGUCUAAUUACCAUAUAUGUGAAUUAUGCAAUGUCAUCUUGUUGCAAGACAUCAUAUAUGUGAAUUAUGCAAUGCUAUCUUGUUGCAAGGCAUUAUAUAUGUUAAUUAUGCAAUGCCAUGAAGUUUAGCCAAGCGUCAUAUAUGUGAAUUAUAUCAUGCCAUCCAUUUUUUGUAUUUCUCAUUGCAUUUGUCAACAAUGUUUGUAUAUUCAACUGCUCUUCCUGUGCAUCAGCCAUUUGAAUUGGUGAUGGAGAAAUCUGGAGUGAAAACAAGGUCUUCAGAGCAGACAAUGCUACCUGCUAAAGCGGAUAUCUUGCUGGUUACAGAUAGCUCUUCAGAGGAGGAUUCAGAGGCAGAUGACCAGUCCUAUUAUCCCCUUGAGGUGUAUGCUCAAACUUGGCAGGGUUACAUUACUUAUAUCAUGCAUAUGUUGUAUUGCAGUGCUUAGUUUUUAUAUCAUAUACACAAUAUUGAAUGCCAUCUCCUUAGUUGACACAUCAUAUAUGUGAUUGCCUCUGCUCACUUGCUUAGUAUAUAAAUCAUAUAUUUGAAUUAUAUCAUGCCAUGAUGUUUACAUAGACAGCAUGUAUCUGAAUUAUGGCAUGCCAACCCAUUUUCUAAAGACAUGAUAUAGUUAUAUCAUCUCAUCCUGUUUACAUAGUCAUCAUAUUUUGAAUUAUGUUAUUCUAUCCGUGAAUUAUAUCAUGCCAUCAUGUUUCCAUCGACGGCAUGUUCGUGAUUUAUGGCAUGCCAACCACUUUAAUAGACACAUCGUAUAGUUAUAUCAUGUCAUCAUGUUUACAUAGUCAUCAUAUUUUGAAGUAUGUCAUUCUAUCCUGUUUAAUUAGCCAUCAUACAUGUGAAAUUGUGUCAUGCUAUCCUGUUUAAUUAGCCAUCAUAUAUGUGAAACUAUAUCGUGCUAUUCUGUUUGGUUAGAUAACAUAAAUGUGAAUUAUUUCAUGCCAUGUUUUCUUCCCUACCGUCCAUUGCACCUGUCUAUCUUACAAUGUAUGUACAUUCAAUUACUUUUCUUGUUUAUCAGCCAUUUCAAUUGGAGGGCUGAUGGUAGUAUCUGUGGGAGUAAAAACACGGUCCUCAGAAAAGAUCGUGCUACCUGUCGAUGUAGAUAGAACCACGGUUGUACUUGCCCAAGAACCAGCCCCACCACACAUAACCCAGACUCACGCAGAUUGUACCCCUACCCAGUUGGACAGAGAACCAGCUACACCCCUUCUAACCCCAACCCCAGCAGAUAGUAACCCAGUUCCAGUUGACACAACAUCAUCUCCACCACAGAGCACCCAAACAUGAUCAGUUAGUAAGGCAACUACAGUUCCCAAAGCACGAGGACCACCACUCCGAACCCCAAGUCAAUGCUUAAAGCAGAAGAAGAAUUGUUCUCAGGUCAGGUUCCGUAGCUAUGGUUCAUACUACUUUGCUCUUGCAUCACUGUAUUUACUCAUAUCAACUAAUUUCAAAUUUGAAGGAUGCAAUUGAAACCCCAAUGGCACAAUAGGUAUGUUUUAAACCUGUUUCUUUAACGUGUUUGUUGUUGUAACUUGCUCUAUGUUGAUUUCAGAUUCAAUUGAAUGAACAGUUAUGUUCUCAUGCCAUGCACAUUACAAGUGUUGUUAUUGCUGUGUAGUUUCCCACACUUAUACUUUGUCUGUGCUGCUUUGUAUUAAAUAGAUAAGAUUCGAACUGUCUCUAUCUUGAUUUGGCAACAUAUACUAGAAUGAUAUAGACCAUACAGUGACCAUACUACAUAGAUAUAUGUUUGUUUCGUGCUGUUAUCCUGUCCACCUUACUACUGAACCGGUUUACCAAAAUGUGUUUCAUAUACAACAUGGUAAACUUGUGAUGUGUUUGUUUGUUUCUCUUUUAGAACGCGGAUAAUAUAUUGGAGAAGAGUACCCCCGUUAUGCAAUGGUAAAGGAAUUAAUGCAGAUAAGGUUCAAGAUAGUGAGACAUCCAUGUUGGUCUCCAAGAAAGCUGAUAAAAACUAUAUUGAAGACACUGAGACGACCCCAAAGUCCUAUCUUGAUGUAGUGUUCGAGUUAAUGGCUACUAUUGCUGGCACCAGCUCUUCAAACUCGCUGCCUGAAUCAGUUCGGCUUCUUGAGUCUCAACUUCAAGUCGAAAGACAUCGAUCAGAUGUUAUGCGACAAGAAGCCGAAGGACUAAGGAAGUCCCUGCAGAAUUCAGAUGCAUACUUCCUGGUGCAACAGCAAGUGCUGGAGGAUUUAAGCGCCAAACAAGAGAAAAUUAAUAAGCUUGCUAAACAUCUUGCCAGCAUUAUGGGUACCCAGGAUAUUGUUUCUUGAGCUCUUCUGAAGUGGUUUCAGUUCUGGACUUGUUUUGCAGCGGCGUUUAUUUGCACUGGUCGCCAACUUUGACAACCAGUGUACAUGAUAUGCGGCUUUGUUCCCUAUAUUUGCACUAGUGGCAAACUUUGAUGCCCAGUGGAUGUAAUAUGUGUAAUAGCCGUGAUAGCCUAGCGCAAGUUGCUUGCUUAUUUAUUUCCUUGUUGUCUUAUUUAUUUGUUUGCUUAUAGUCAGUGCAGUUUUUUUUCACGGUUUGCUAGUGGCCGCAAUAACCUAUUUUUUAAAACUAGGCCACAAUAACCAUGGGCUACAUAUUUACUGUAUUUACCAUGGGCCUCCUACGGGCCGUAGAAACAAUGGGCCUUCUACGGGACGUAGCAUCAAUGGGUCUUCUACGGGCCGUAUGAUCGAUCGGCCAAACAUGGGCCAAUAACAGACCGCAUUAUGGGCCAUAAACGGGCUAGAUUUGAAAUCGUCCGUUCAUGGGCCGACCAUAAUGGGCUAUCGUUAAUUGGUCGUAUUUGAUGACGUUACGAAAACGGCCCAAAGGAUUAACGGGCCAAUUGUAACCACAGGCUGAAUUUGGCCCACAAGCAGAAAAGGCCAGUAACGGGCCGUAAGUAACCGAAUACUGGAAAUAAGCCCAAGAAUAAAUGGGCCCUGAGAAGUACGAAAGAUAACACGGGUUGGAAACGACCCAAUGGAAUAAUGUGCCGUUAAUGGGUAUAAAGCGGUACAUUGUUCAUUGCGGGCCAGAUUCAACACGGGCCGUUAAUGGGCCAAGAGUUACAAAUGGCCUCGUAUGGGCCAAAAGAUAUCAUGGGCCGGAAGUUACAAUAGGCUGGAAUCAUAUUGGACGGCCUAGAUGAAGCUAUUGGGCUUAAUUCUGAUAGGCCGUAACGGGCCAUGAGUUAGCGGGCCGUAAAUGGGCUAUAUACGAACAGGCCGUUAACAGGCUUUCCAUGUGCCGACCCAUUACCUUUUGACCAAGUCAAAUGGGCCGGCCUUUUCACCAGAAUGGGCCUCUGUUGAGACGUGCCAUGUGUCGAUGUAUCAUAGGCGCCUCCUGUCCAAUCAAUGGAUGACAUCUGUCCCAACGGUGAGCCAACACGUGUUUCCUUCGGCCAAUGAAAAUUUUACACGUGGAAAAUCCUCAUUGGUUCGGGCUGUUAAUGUGUUAUCGGAUCCAAAACCGGACCCGAUAGCAUAACGGCGACCCAUUAUGGUGGAUGCCACAUGUCGGUCACCCUUAACAAAAGCACUUCUAUGAUGCGCAAUUUAUCGUCAUGGAAGUGGACACUUCUGUGAUGAUAAUUUUGGUAAUGUCAUGGAACACUUCUACGACAGCACAGGUAUGACUAUCUUGAUUCUGUCAUAAAAUUGUCAUGGAUGUACAUGCAUGACAGAAAAGGUGACGUACUGUGACAAACAUGUAUCAUCAUGGAAGUGUAUUUUUUUGUAGUGUUGGCCACAACUUCCUUUUGAUUGCUCAAAAGGUCAUUGAGAUUCUUCUCACCUUGUAUGCAAGACAUAAGGCCUUUCUCAAGUUGCUCCUUUAACUUUGCAUUCUCCUCCACAAGAUGCACAUGCUCACAACAAGGGUUAGUAGCAUUUGCAUUAUCAAUUAAGACCAUAUGAGGAAAAGUGGCUUUUUCCUUAGUUAGCUUCACUUGGAGUUGAUCAUGAUACUCUUUGAGGCUAGCAUGAGCACCCUUCAAGGCUUUGUGAACCUUGUCGAGUAUAUCAAACUCCUCCUUGAGUCUAGCAAGAUCAACCCCAAGUUUGGCCUUCUCAGAAUUUUGCACACGAGAUACAACAAGAGCAUGAUCAAGAUCUUUCUUUAAUUUAGCAUGGUCAUCGUUGUGUGACUCCUCAAGAGCCAAACGAUGACCGCGCUCUUCCUCAAGCACAUUAGAGAGAUCCGAUAUCUCAUCGACAUAAUCAUAGCUAUGCCCCUCCAUCUUAGAGAUGGUUUCUUCGUGAGCCUCAAUCAUGUCAUUGGCUUCACCAAGUUGUUCCAAGAGAGCAACAAAGUGCUUCUUGGAUUUACCCUUUAGUUUACUCAUAAAAGACUCGAAUUCAUUUUCCUCCUCAUUAGACCCCUCACUUUCAUCAAUGCAAUCCGUCAAAGAAGGAUUAGUAAUGAUGGUAGUUUUGAUGUUGGGGGUUACCUUGUUGGUGGCACUUGGCGGUGAUGUUCUCAUUGGGUGAGUCGAAGAGGGACACCCGUGGAGUCGUCGCAAUGGCAACGGAGGCCAUAGCAACCAACUCACUUUCUUCAUCAUCAUCAUCCUCCUCAUUGUACUCUUCUUGUUCCACCAACCCCUUGGGAGGAGUCUUCUUGGUGAAGUUGCUCUUGUUGGGGAAGGACUUGGCCUUGUCCUUUUGGAUGAACUUGCCACCAUUGUCUUCCCUCUUCUCAUAUGGGCACUCCACAACAAAGUGGCUCACAUUGCCACAAUUAUAGCAAGUCCUCACACGUUGCUUGCCCUUCGUGCCACUUGAGUUAUUCUUGUUGAAGUUGGGACUUGUGUUCUUCUUGCUCCAAAAUUGCCUUGAAGCGAGAGCCAUGUGCUCAUGAUAAACAUAUUUUGUAUCUUCGGGGUUGCUCUCCUCUUCAUCCUCUUCUUCCACACUAGCCUUGGCCUUCAAGGCAAGGUUGGGCUUCUUUGCUAUUUGAGAACGCAACACCUCAUUGUCGGCGGUCUUGUCCAAGAUACUCAUUGCCACAAACUCAUCCAACACUUCACUUAAGGACAAGGUGUGAAAGUCCGGCCUUUGACGGAUGACAGAGGACAUGGCCUUAUGGUAAGGCAUCAUGGCUUUGAGAAACUUGCGCUUGAUCCAGUUGUCAUUUGUAUCCUUGCUCCCAUGAUCUCAGAGUGAGACCACAAAAGUGAUUAAUCUCCGGUAAAGCUCACGAGGUUCUUCACCUUCAUUCAUUGCAAAUUCAUCGGCUUCAUAUUGCACCACUUCAUAGUUGGAGCGUUGAAUGCUUGCGCUUCCCUUGUAAAGGGAAACAACAUGGUGCCAUGCUGCCUUUGCCACGAUGAAAGGUCGGAGAUGCGAAAUAUCUUCGGAUGGAAUUGCAUCUUUGAUGAUGAAGAGAGCAUUCUCGUUGAAUUGAUGAUCUGCGGCUUCUCGAGGGGUGAAGUUGCUUGGGUCAUGCGGAUAGAAACAUUGCUCAGUGAUUCUCUAGAUAUUAGUAUUGACAUGAUUUAAAUGAUGUUUAAAGCGAUAGACCCAAGAGUCAAAAUCCUCAUUUUUCACAAUCUUAGGGGGAGAACCGGCAUGAUUCAAAUGAGUGGAGGGAACCGGUCCUCCAUAAGUAAGUGGAGGUUCAACAUGGGCAUAGAUGCCAUUUCCACUUCUACCACUAGAUGAAGGAACUUUGUCACUCAUAGCUUCCCCCUUGUCGGAGUUAGCAUUCGUCACCUUGUUAGUGGGAUUGACCACUUCCAACGGUGCGGUGGACAAUUUAAGACCAUCAAGAAAGUUCUUAAGCAUGCCUUUGACCUCGGUCGUCAUGGAGGUUUUCAAUGUGUCCAAGGCCACAUUGAACUCCUCACGUGUGACCGAGGUUCCCUCAUCGGCCGUAGACAAGGAUGGAAUCACACCGGGUGCUCCUCCUCACCAUAUACGGUGUCAACCAUACUCUUCGGAUGGCAAAGUCCUUAAUAAAGAGAUGAGGCUCUAAUACCAAUUGAAAGGAUCGAUAUAGUUGACUAGAGGGGGAGUGAAUAGGCAACUAACAAUUUUUAGCUUUUCUUUAACAAUUUAAGCUUUGCAUCAAAGUAGGUUGUCUAGACAUGCAACUAGGUGAGCAACCUAUAUGAUGCAACAACAAAAGCACACAAGCAAGCAAGGGAUGCAACACAAAGUAAGCCUGCACAAGUACAGGUACGAGAUAACCAAGAGUGGAGCCGGUGGAGACGAGGAUGUGUUACCAAAGUUCCUUCCCUUUGAGAGGAAGUACGUCUCUGUUGGAGCAGUGUGGAGGCACAAUGCUCCCCAAGAAGCCACUAGGGCCACCGUACUCUCCUCACGCCCUCAUACAAUGCGAGAUGUCGUGAUUCCACUAUUGGUGCCCUUGGAGGCGGCGGCCGAACCUUUACAAACAAGGUUGGGGCAAUCUCCACAACUUAAUUGGAGGCUCCCAACGACACCAUGAGGCUUCACCAGAAUGGAAUAUGGCUCCGCGGUGACCUCAACCGUCUAGGGUGCUCAAGCACCCAAGAGUAACAAGAUCCGCAAGGGAUUAGUGGGGGGAAUCAAAUUUCUCUUGGUGGAAGUGUAGACCGGAGCCUUCUCAACCAAUCCCUAGAAAAUCAACAAGUUUGAUUGGCUAGGGAGAGAGAUCGGGCGAAAAUGGAGCUUAGAGCAUUAAUGGAGCUUAGGGAUGGAAGAGGUAGUCAACUCGGAGAAGAAGACUCCCCUUAUAUAGUGAUAGGACAAAUCCAACCGUUAUCCACUUACCCAGCCUGCGAUGUGCGGUCACCAGACAAGCGGUACUACCGCAAGGGCCUGUAGUACUACCGCGGGGCCCUACGGUACUACCACUGGCGUGGCAGGAGCUAGACCAUCCAUGUUGCAUUGCAGCAGAAAGCGGUAGAACCGCCGGAAGGGUGCUAUCGCUUGCCCUUGCGGUACUACCGCGAGGCAGGGUUUGUCUAGGCUGGGAAAGCACAGACAUAAAAAAAUACAUCCGUGGCUACUUUCGUUCAGUUUCGAUCUGUGCAAAAAUCCGACGCAGUACUACCGUGAACCUGGAGCGGUACUACCGCGUAGGGCGCGGAUGUAAAAAAUUACAUUCACCCCUACUUCCGCUCGUGUUGUUGCGCCUGGCCCGAGGCCAUGGUACUACCGCGCCCUGGGAACGGUACUACCGCAAGGGACUGCGAUACUACUGCGACCGUGGCUGGUACUACCGUCAGCCUUUGCGGUACUACCACUCCCAUGAGCAGUACUAACGCAUGCCCCAGCACAACCAACACUAGGAGUCCUUCAUUUUGCAGAGACAUGGAUAAACGGAGGAUGCUCCAAAGAGCCAAAGGAAAGGUGGUGCAAAAGGAACAGACGUGUAUGUGAUGAUUCCACCCAAACCUUUCCAAAGCUGACCCCCUCUUAAUACGAUUUUCCUACGACUCAAAUCCACCAAAAAGAAACGUAGGGAAAACUCCGUCUUCACUAGACUCCGAGGGGAAAUGAAUCAUCUUGUGCCUAAACAUGAGAUAUCUAAAAUGCUCAAUGCACACGAUUAGUCCGCAAAUGCAUUGUCAUCAAUCACCAAAACCACUAAGGGAUAAAUAUGCCCUUAUACUAUCUCAACAUCAUUAUCUGGUUCUUUAUCAUUAUUUGGUUGAGUGUCUUCAUGAACCUUAUCAUCAUCUUUUUCAUUAUCACUAGGUGAGUGUUCAUUACCAGAUUGAGUUUCAACAUCAGAGAUAGAAACUUCAUUUUCAUUAUCAGGAGGUUUUUCUAUUUCAGGUUCAUUAGAAGCAUGCAAAGUCCUAUCAUUUUUCUUUUUCUUUUUAGAAGGACUAGGUGCACUAGUGUUGGCUCUUUGUGAAUCUUGUUCAAUUCUUUUUGGGUGUCCCUCGGGAUAAAGUGGUUCCUGAGUCAUUUUACCUCCUCUAGUUGCAACUCUAACAGCAAAGUCAUUUAUAUUAUUAUUCAUUUCAUCAAGUAAUUCUCUUUGUGAUUUAGCAACUUGUUCCAACAGAGUUUGAACCAUAGAAGCAUGUUUUCCAACACCUCUAACAUCAUUUGAUAUUCUAAAUAACAAGUCACUCAAGCGAGCAAUCAUAUCAGAAUUAUAUUUCAAUUGUUUCAUAACAUUUGCAUUGAAGUGAUCUUGUUUUCUAAUGUAGUUUUCAAACUCAUAAAGGCAUUGACUAGGAUGCAUAUUGUGAGGAUUAUAAUUAUCAUUGAACUUCAUUAUAGAAUUCACCUCUACCACCUUAGGCAGUGGUGGCGUAUUAAGCCCAUGUAUUUCAUCAAUAGGAGGUAAAAUUUUAACAUCCUCAGCUUUAGUACCUUUUUCUUUCAUGGAUUUCUUUGCCUCUUGCACAUCUUCAGAACUAAGAUAUAAUAUAUCCCUCUUCUUUGGAGUGGGUUUAGCCGGUGGUUCAGGAAGAGUCCAAUCAUCAUAAUUUUUCAAUAUAUUAUUCAAUAAUUCUUCAGCUUGUCCAACAGUUCAUUCCCUGAAAACACAACUAGCACAACUAUCUAGGAAGUCCCUAGAAGCAUCGGUUAGUCUAUUAUAAAAAAUAUCAAGUAUUUCAUUUUCCUUAAGAGGAUGAUCAGGGAAAGCAUUAAGUAACUGGCAAAGCCUCCCCCAAGCUUGUGGGAGACUCUCUUCUUUAGUUUGCACAAAGUUAAAUAUUUCCUGUAAGGCAGCUUGUUUCUUAUCAGCAGGAUUUUUUUCUAGAGAAGUAAUAAAUCAUAUCCUGGGGACUGCGCACACAACCAGGAGCAAGAGUAUUGUACCAAGCUUUAGCAUCACUCUUUAAUGAGAAAGGAAAUAAUUUGAGAAUAAAGUAAUAGCGAUUUUUCUCAUCAUGAGUAGAAAGGGUGGCUAUGUCAUUCAACUUAGUAAGAUGUGCCACAACAGUUUCAGUUUCAUGACCAUGGAAAGGAUCAGAUUCAACCAAAGUAAUUAACUCUGGGUCGAUAGAGAAUUCAUAAUCCUUAUCAUCAAUAAAGAUAGGUGAAGUAGCAAACUUAGGAUCACAUUUCAUUCUAGCAUUCAGAGAUUUUUCUUUAUACUUGCAUAGUAAUUUCUCUAGAUCAUCUCUAUCUCUGCAAGCAAGAAUAUCUCUAGUUGUCUCUUCACUCAUAACAUAACCUUUUGGUACCUUAGGCAAUUCAUAUCUAGGAGGGCUAGUUCUAGUAGGUGUUUCAGGAGAUUCAGUUUCAAGCUCAUCAUCAGAUUCAACAACAUCAUGUUGUAUAACUCUAGCAAUUUGUUUAUCAAGAAAUUCACCAAGUGGCACAUCAUCAUUAUCAAGCAAGGUACUAGCAUCAUCAUAUGCAUUAUCCAUAGCAGAAGUAGCAUCAUCAAUAACUUGCGACAUAUCAGAAUUAAUAGCAUGUGGUGGUGUUGCAAGUUUACUCAUAACAGAAGGUGAAUCUAAAGCAAAACUGGAUGGCAGUUCCUUACCUCCCCUCAUCUUUGAGGGAUAAAUCUUAGUCUUUGGAUCCUUCGGAUUCUUCAUAGUGAUAAUAUGAUAAUAAUCCCAAGUGACUCAACAAAUAUAGCUAUGCUCCCCGGCAACGGCGCCAGAAAAAGGUCUUGAUAACCCACAAGUAUAGGGGAUCGCAACAGUUUUCGAGGGUAGAGUAAUCAACCCAAAUUUAUAGAUUCGACACAAGGGGAGCCAAAGAAUAUUUGAAGGUAUUAGCAGCUGAGUUGUCAACUCAACCACACCUGGAGAUUAAUUAUUUGCAGCAAGUAAUCUGUAGCAAAGUAAUAUGAUAGUUUUGAUAGCAGUGACAACAGUAAUAGUAACGGUAACAGUGAUAGCUGUAAUAACUUAGCAGAAACAAUAUAGGAUAAAUUUGUAGGCAUUGGAUCGGUGACUUGUUGGAUGAUAUUCAUCAUGAGACAGUUAUAACCUAGGGCGAUACGGCACUAGCUCCAGUUCAUCGAUAUAAUGUAGGCAUGUAUUCCGUAAAUAGUCAUAUAUGCUUUAUUAAAAGAACUUGCAUGAUGAUGUCUACUACACAACCUUCUUCUUGUAGAUGUUGUUGGGACUCCAAGUGUAGAGGUUUGUAGGACAGUAGCAAAUUUCCCUCAAGUGGAUGACCUAAGGUUUAUCAAUCCGUGGGAGGUGUAGGAUGAAGAUGGUCUCUCUCAAACAACCCUGCAACCAAAUAACAAAGAGUCUCUUGUGUCCCCAACACACCCAAUACAAUGGUAAACUGUAUAGGUGCACUAGUUCGGCGAAGAGAUGGCGAUACAAGUGCAAUAUGGAUGGUAGAUAUAGGUUUUUGUAAUCUGAAAAUAUAAAAACAGCAAGGUAACUAAUGAUAAAAGUGAGCACAAACGGUAUUGCAAUGAUAGGAAACAAGGCCUAGGGUUCAUACUUUCACUAGUGCAAGUUCUCUCAACAAUAAUAACAUAAUUGGAUCAUAUAACUAUACCUCAACAUGCAACAAAGAGUCACUCCAAAGUCACUAAUAGCGGAGAACAAAUGAAGAGAUUAUUGUAGGGUACGAAACCACCUCAAAGUUAUUCUUUCCGAUCAAUCUAUUGGGCUAUUCCUAUAAGUGUCACAAACAGCCCUAGAGUUCGUAGUAAAAUAACACCUUAAGACACAAAUCAACCAAAACCCUAAUGUCACCUAGAUACUCCAAUGUCACCUCAAGUACCCGUGGGUAUGAUUAUACGAUAUGCAUCACACAAUCUCAGAUUCAUCUAUUCAACCAACACAAAGAACUUCAAAGAGUGCCCCAAAGUUUCUACCAGAGAGUCAAGACGGAAACGUGUGCCAACCCCUAUGCAUAAGUUCACAAGGUCACUGAACCCGCAAGUUGAUCACCAAAACAUACAUCAAGUAGAUCACGUGAAUAUCCCAAUGUCACCACAGAUAAGCACAUGCAAGACAUACAUAAAGUGUUCUCAAAUCCUUAAAGACUCAAUCCGACAAGAUAACUUCAAAGGGAAAACUCAAUCCAUUACAAGAGAGUAGAGGGGGAGAAACAUCAUAAGAUCCAACUAUAAUAGCAAAGCUCGCGAUACAUCAAGAUCGUACCAUAUCAAGAACACGAGAGAGAGAGAGAGAAAGAGAGAGAGAUCAAACACAUAGCUACUGGUACAUAGGUGAACUACUCCCUCCUCAUCAUGGAGAGCGCCGGGAUGAUGAAGAUGGCCACCGGUGAUGGAUCCCCCCUCCGGCAGGGUGCCGGAACAGGGUCACGAUUAGUUCUUGGUGGCUACAGAGGCUUGCGGCGGUGGAACUCCCGAUCUAGGUUUCUUUUCGGGGGUUUCUGUAUUUAUAGGAAUUUUUGGCAUCGGUCUCACAUCAGGGGGUCUCCGAGUCGUCCACGAGGCAGGGGGGGGGGCGCGCCCUCCACCCUCGUGGGCGGCUCCGGACUCUUUUGGCCCAACUAUUUUACUCCGGGGGCUUCUUUUGAUCCAUAAAAAUCAUCAAAAAUUGGCACGUCAAUUGGACUCUAUUUGGUAUUCCUUUUGUGUAAAACUCAAAAACAAGGGAAAAACAGAAACUAGCACUGGGCUCUAGGUUAAUAGGUUAGUCCCAAAAAUCAUAUAAAAUAACAUAUAAAUGCAUAUAAAACAUCCAAGAUGGAUAAUAUAAUAACAUGGAACAAUCAAGAAUUAUAGAUAUGUUGGAGACGUAUCACAUGACAUCUUUUGUCCUACCCUCCCGUGGCAGCGGGGUCCAUAUUGAAAACUAAGGCAUAUUAAGGCCUUCUUUUAAUAGAGAACCGGAACAAAGCAUUAACACAUAGUGAAUACAUGAACUACUCAAACUACGGUCAUCACCGGGAGGGUCCCGGUUAUUGUCACUCCGGGGUUGCCGGAUCCUAACAUGUAGUAGGGGGCUAUAACUUGCAAGGUCGGAUCUAGAACAUGGAUAUAAUGGUGAUAACAUAAACGUUUCAAAUCUGAAAUCAUGGCACCCGGGCCAAAAGUGACAAGCAUUAAGCAUGGCAAUCAUAGCAACAUCAAUCUAAGAACAUAGUGGAUACUAGGGAUCAAGCCCUAACAAAACUAACUCGAUUACAUGAUGAAUCUCAUCCAACUCCUCACCGACCUGCGAGCCUACGAAGGAAUUACUCACUCCCGGUGGGGAGCGUCAUGGAAUUGGCGAUGGAGAAGGGUUGCGGAUGAUGAAGAACGAAGACCCCCCUCUCCGGAGCCCCAAAUAGACUCCAGAUCUGCCCUCCCGAGGAAGAACGGGGCUUGGUGGCGCCUCCGUCUCGUGGAUCAUGCUAAUUCUUUCUCCCUCAUUUUUUUCUCUGAAAAUAGGAAUUUAUAGUGUCAGGGUUGAGGUCUACCGGGCCACCAGGUGGGUACAACCCACCUGGGCGCGCCAGGAGAGGGGGACGCGCCCUAGUGGGUUGUGCCCACCCAGGUGCCCCUCUCCGGCAGGUCUUGGCUCCAGAAAUUCUUAUUAUUGAUAUAAAAAAUCCUCUCAAAGUUUCGUUCCAUUCCGGGAACUUAUAUUUUUGCACAAAAACAACACCAUGGUAGUUCUGCUGAAAACAACGUCAGUCCGGGGUUAGCUUCAUUCAAAUCAUGCAAAUUAGAGUCCAAAACAAGAGGAGAAGCAUGAGAAAAAGUAGAUACAUUGGAGACGUAUCAAGCACGCGCGGGUGGGUGCCCAUUUCGAAGCGAUGGAGGGUGAUCCAACAAGAGUGCAACAAGUUUUGUGCCACUCUUGAGAGCAUCAAGGCUCGCCCCGUGAGCAGCAUCGGCAUGCAAGACAUGGUAUGCUAUCAAGCCGCCCUCUUUUGUGUCAUCAAGUUCAUGCUUGCGUGUUCAUUUGCAUACCAUUUGCCAAUAUGCUUGCAUGGAAACAUUUAGUAGGCAUUUCAAGCUUUGGAGGCAUUCAAGGUCUAACACAAUGGUAAGUGCUUCAACCUCUCCCAUUGCUUUCGGGUCAUCAAGGACGAGGAGAAGUUCAAGGCGCAAUAUGCCGCCCUCAAGUCACGUGGGGUGAUACGUCUCCAACGUAUCUAUAAUUUUUGAUUGCUCCAUGCUACUUUAUCUACUGUUUUAGGCAAUAUUGGGCUUUAUUAUCCACUUUUAUAUUAUUUUUGGGACUAACCAAUUAACCGGAGGCCCAACCCAGAUUUGUUGUUUUAUGCCUAUUUCAGUGUUUCGAGGAAAAGGAAUAUCAGACGGAGUCAAAACGGAACGAAAUCCAUUGAAGAAGUUAUUUUUGGAAGGAAAGCAACCUAGGGAACUUGGAGUGCACGUCAGGGGAGAUACGGGCUGCCCACGAGGGUGCCCCCCCCCGGGCGCGCCCCCCUGCCUCGUGGGGCCCCCGUAGCUCCUCCGACGUACCCCCUGCACCCAUAUAUACUCUCGUACCCUAAAACUUCCAGAACAGAAGAUAGAUCAGGAGUUCCGCCGCUGCAAGCCUCUGUAGCCACCAAAAACCAAUCGGGACCCUGUUCCAGCACCCUGCUGGAGGGGGAUCCCAUCACCGGUGGCCAUCUUCAUCAUCGCGGUGCUAUCCAUGACGAGGAGGGAGUAGUUCACCCUCGGGGCUGAGGGUAUGUACCAGUAGCUAUGUGUUUGAUCUCUCUCUCUCUCUCGUGUUCUCUCUCGUGUUCCCUCUAUGGCACGAUCUUGAUGUAUCCCGAGCUUUGAUAUUGUAGUUGGAUCUUAUGAUGUUUCUCCCCCUCUACUCUCUUGUGAUAAAUUGAGUUUCCCCUUUGAAGUUAUCUUAUCGGAUUGAGUCUUUUAUGAGAACACUUGAUGUAUGUCUUGCCGUGAUUAUCUAUGGUGACAAUUGGAUAUCAUGUGCCACUUGAUGUAUGUUUUGGUGAUCAACUUGCGGGUUUCGUGACAUUGGGAACCUAUGCAUAGGGGUUGGCACACGUUCCUGACUCUCCGGUAGAAACUUUGGGGCACUCUAUAAAGUACUUUUAUGUUGGUUGGAUGAAUCUGAGAUUGUGUGAUGCAUAUCGUAUAAUCAUGCCCACGGAUACUUGAGGUGACAAUGGAGUAUCUAGGUGACAUUAGGGUUUUGGUUGAUUUGUGUCUUAAGGUGUUAUUCUAGUACGAACUCUUUUAUAGAUUGAUCCAAAAGAAUAACUUUGAGGUGGUUUCGUUACCCUAACAUAAUCUCUAUGUUUGUUCUCCGCUAUUAGUGGCUUCGGAGUGACUCUUUGUUGCAUGUUGAGGGCUUGUCAUACUAUCUAUCUUUGUUAUUAUUGUUGAGAGAACUUGCACUAGUGAAAGUAUGAACCCUAGGCCUUGUUUCCUAUCAUUGCAAUACCGUUUACGCUCACUUUUACCACUUGUUACCUUGCUGUUUUUAUUAUUUCAUAUUACAAAAACCUAUAUCUACCAUCUAUUUUGCACUUGUAUCACCAUCUCUUCGCCGAACUAGUGCACCUAUACAAUUUACCAUUGUAUUGGGUGUGUUGGGGACACAAGAGACUCUUUGUUAUUUGGUUGUAGGGUUGUUUGAGAGAGACCAUCUUCAUCCUACACGUCCUAUGGAUUGAUAAACCUUAGGUCAUCCACUUGAGCGAAAUUUGCUACUGUCCUACAAACCUGUGCACUUGCAGGCCCAACAACGUCUACAAGAAGAAGGUUGUGUAGUAGACAUCAUGGGGGGAAAGCAAGCCGUGGAGGAGGUUGGGCACGGCGAGACGGCACGGCGAGCCGGCACGGCCGCGGGGGAAGACCAACUCCAAGAAGGAGGACAAGCGGGAUGCAGCAUCCAACGCCUUGAUCGCAAGCGUGGAGGUCAUAAUGAACAAAAAGGACUCAAGGGAGGAGGAGAGCCGACACUUCAAAGAAGAGCAAAUGAAUGCCUUCAUGGAGAUCCAAAGGAGGAGGCUUGAGAUGGAAGCGGAGAAGCAAGCCAAGAUGCUUGAGCUAGAGGCGGAGAAGCAAGCCAAGAUGUUAGAGCAUCUCCAUCCGUUCGGCCCCCCAGGGCACCGAAAAAGAGCCGCCUGGGGGCGAACCGGCGCUAGAUCGGCCCCUGGGGGCGACCUAGCUCCUAGUCAUCGGCCCACAGGUCGCCCAGGUUCGGCGAUGUUCCGUACAAAAUAUAUGCAAACUCGGUGAUUUUGCACGAACUCGGCGAAACUUCAUUGAAAUUUGUACAAAAAACAUGAAAACAUGCAAACUAUGCCUGAACUACGCCUAACCGCCACCGCCGCAGCUGCCGCCAUUGUCUACAUGCCGAGAAGCCUGUAGAAGCAAGCGCCGUCGCCGUCAUCAUCGUUGUCGCGCGGCUAGCUUGGGCUGGCGUUGUCCCUGCUGCAGCCCUGGCCAGGGUCGUCGAGGCGCGGUGGCGCGCUGGACGGGCCGGCCUCGUCCUCCUCGUUGCUGUCGAGGACAAUGACGUCGCCCUGCUCGCGCCCGUGGCGCCGGGCCUGAUGCCAGGCCUGGAGCUCCGCGUACGCCUGGCGCUGGCGGCGGACCUGCUCCCGGACGUAGUCCUCCUUCACCCACUUGAGGGCGGACUCGUCGUCGGGGGCCGCCAUCUCGACGUGCUCCGGCUUCACCGGGAGCAGCCCCGGCUCUAGCUUCGGCCGGACCAGGCGGAAGGAACCGCGCGGGGAGGACCGGGCACCCUCGUUGAUGACGAGGGCGCCACUGCGGGUGCGGCGCCCGAGCGGCAUCUCCUUCGGCUCGGGCUUGACAGGGCGGAGCAUGGCCGGCGAGCCGGAGCCCGACGACGAGGACAACCCCGACUCCAUCCGCCGCGGCGUCCAGGAGCUCCCACGGCGGCGAGAGAAGGACGACCGCGGCGGGUACUCGAGGAGCGGCACGUUGCCGAUCUCGAUGUGGUCGAGGACGGCCUCGAGGGUGCGGCCUGGCACGCCCCAUCACUCACGCCGCCCGUCAGAGUUGAGGCAGCCGCGCGGGAUGACGCCGUUGGUGGAGACGAUAUGCCCCUCGCGGCUGCGUUGGAAGUACGUGGUCCAGAGGUGGUGGCUGUUGGCGGCGUAGCGCGACUCGUCCCAAUGCUCCUCCGUCAUGGACAAGCGGAUGCGGGCGAUCUCGGCCCGCCACGCCGCCCCUUCGGGCACCGGGACGCCGCCGGCGCUCAGCCUCCACGUCCCCGACACCCGCAUGUCCGGGGGUGCCGGGUACUCAGCCUCGUAGAGCAGGCGCGCCUCCGCUUCUUGGAGGUGGCGGCGGCCGAAGCCGUUCGCCACGACGUCGUCGCCUGGGUAUCUCUCGGCCAUCUUUCUCGUCGUCGGGAAGAGGGGAGUGUUGCUAUCUACGCCGGGGAGGGGGGAAAAUGAUAGUUGUGGCAUCCACCGGCGGGGAGGUCGCCUUUUAUAGCCAUAGUUGGGCGGCCGCGGGCUGCAUGCCGGGCGACGCGUGGCUGGACGCGCGUCGCGACGCGUUCACUGCGCCGCCCGUGAGGCAUCAAUGGAGGCUGACCGGCGCGGCAGCACGGCAGCCUUCGCAUUGUUUCCCGCGGGAACCGAGCGAUGAGGGCGACGAAGCAGCGUCUCGCUGACUCGGCGGGGCCAUCCGCUUUCGCGCCAGUUUCGGCCCAAAGCGGCAAAAAAAUGGGCUCCUGGGUGCGCGACUGGGCCGAUUUUUGGGUGCCGGCAUGGAAAAAUCGCCUGGGGAGGGCCUGUUGGGGGCACGGCUGGAGAUGCUCUUAGAGAUCGAGGCCGCCAAUGCCAAGACCAAGGAGAAAGAAGUGGCUCUCGCGAGCAUGAUGACCGGGGUGGAGACCAUGAAGGUGGAUCUCAACACAGUGUCGUCAAGGAAGAUGUCNNNNNNNNNNNNNNNNNNNNNNNNNNNNNNNNNNNNNNNNNNNNNNNNNNNNNNNNNNNNNNNNNNNNNNNNNNNNNNNNNNNNNNNNNNNNNNNNNNNNNNNNNNNNNNNNNNNNNNNNNNNNNNNNNNNNNNNNNNNNNNNNNNNNNNNNNNNNNNNNNNNNNNNNNNNNNNNNNNNNNNNNNNNNNNNNNNNNNNNNNNNNNNNNNNNNNNNNNNNNNNNNNNNNNNNNNNNNNNNNNNNNNNNNNNNNNNNNNNNNNNNNNNNNNNNNNNNNNNNNNNNNNNNNNNNNNNNNNNNNNNNNNNNNNNUGGUAAUAUGCAAAUGAACAGUGACAUCUUUUUACUGUUACCUGCAGCCGGCCCUCCCCAAUGUCCAAUUAUAUGCAUUCCUGCCUCCGCCACUGCCGACGAGUGAUCUCACGCCUUUCUUUUUCGUAUGUUGGCUUGUGUGCUGGCAUGACCACGGGCCGCGAUGGCUGGUCAAACUCAAGUCCCACCCCUUUUGUGUGCUGGCAUGUGUGUCGGCCGCUGGCGAGUGCGCCAGCGUGAACUGUGUGGUGAUAUUUUUUGAAGCCGACAAUGUAUGUCGGCGCUGGCAUGGUGCCGGCAUGAGACAUGGCUGCUCGUAUGAUCUAUGCGCCGCGGGCCUUUUUUUAAAUUGAGUGCAGACAUAAAAAUGGAUCGGCGCGUUGGGUGGGCGGCCGGCCAAAAUGCAAAAUAGGACGGACACCGGGCGGGCAACCAACCCAAACGGACAAAAAGCGGACAAAUGCGCCGUAUGUUUGGGUCAGCCGGUUGGAGUUGCUCUUACUGUUCAUUCACACAGUUUCUUCACAGUUUUCUGACGUUGCACGUACGGGUAAAUUUUUUUUUUGAACUAUUGGGACACACGGACGUUUUUUGCUAGCAAAGGAUAGAGAGGAUUCGCGAAGAAAACGAAGGACGAGAGGCUUCGACGAGUCCGUGGGCCCGUGUGAAUACAACGUGCGCGGGGGGCAGAGCAGCGGGUCCGGCCAAAAGCAAGCGUUUCCCAAAUCGAAUUGCCCCUUUCUUUCCCCUCGUCCAAGCCUCGGCCUCUUUAUAACCCCCACCACCUAAUCCUGCCCGUCCACCAAAGCCGCCAGCCUCCCUCCCCUGCCUGCCAGCCCCCAAAUCUCCCCUCCCUCUGUCGCUCUCGAAUCUUCCCCGAGCAUCGACCAUGUCGGCCUACUGCGGAAAGUACAAGGGUACGCGAUCCAUCUCCCUCCUUCCCCCUCCUCCCCUCCCUCGUCGUUCUCUCGAUACGUCGGCGGUUUGAUCUGUCUCGCGUGUAGAUCCGUUACCCGUUCGCCGUUCGUCAUGCUUAGAUCUACCUUUGCUCGCGAAUCCGAUGUACUGUAUGCCCUCCGUACGCGCCGUGCUUUGAUCUGCUUGGUUCUAGCGGUUACGCUGUUUUCGAGCGGAUUUAGGCGCUGCGUUAUUAGAUCAGUGCUUUGGGUUCCCCGGUCGCGUCAGGUGAUGGGUUGCAUGCUGAUGAUUACUGCUAGGUCCAUGCUAGUGAUUAUUUUGUGUGGAUGAUGAUACUGGCGUUCCUUCUUUUUUUGCAAGUACUUUUUGGGCAAGUUGAUAGACUCCGUUGCUCCAUCUGUACAUAAUUCUGUUUGUGUUCGUUGUAGUGGUAAUUAUGGCUUUAAUUAUUGAAGAUUGUACCUGUAAAUCUAGAUCUAUUUAGAUCCUGGUGGCUUCUUUUGCUAAGCAAUAUACUGUGCUUAUAUAGUUGCAAGCUGUAUUGGUUUGCUCUGCUGCCAUCUUAAGGGCUCCUUUGAUUCAAAGGAAUUUUAUAGGAUUUCUGGAGGAUUGAAAUCCUUUGGAUUUUUUUGUAUGUUGGUCCUUUGAUUUAUAGGAUGGAAUCCCAUAGGAAUUUUUUCCUAUGGAAUCUUUUGUACGACAUUUUGGCUCCGUUUGGUUUGGAGGCAGAAAAAAUGAAGGAAUAAGUAACUGCACAGGAAUAGAGUCGAGUGACUAGAGCGAGCCUAUGGAGCCUUGUGACCUGUUCGGUGUGCAGGAAAUGGAGCCCUUGGAGUACGAUGAAGAGAUGGGCGUUCUCACAGCUGAUUAGAGUUUUUUAUUGUCUCUAGACGUGAUGACCUCCCAUGCAGCCAUUGUUUAUUCGGCUGGACCACACUAUAGCAAGAGCUUAGCCUCGCGUCUCGGUCAGAACAUGAGGUUCCGGUGGAUUUUUCGUUUCCUGUGAAAAGUACAGGUUCACGUGACUUUCCACUGGAACAGAAUACCAGAUUCCUGUGAAACGAACGCACUGCAGGUAGAAGUUACUAAGGAAACUGAUCCUUCAAAAGUUCCUGUGAGAUUCCUGCGUACCGAACGGAGCCUUUAUAGGAAAUCUAACAUUCACUCCAACCUCUUUUUACAAUUCCUUUGUUUUUCCUGUGCCAUUAAACACCCAUUGCUACUCCUAUAGGAUUCAAGUGGGCAUGCCACUCUAACCCUAUACUUUUCCUAUUCCUACAUUUUCAAAAUCCUACGAAUCAAAGAGGCCCUAAUUCUUUGUUUCCCCUUUGUGUUAACCACCUUGUGCUGUUGUACAGAUACUUCUACUGAGAAAUUGUCAAAAUUUCAUAAUCACUUGUCCGAAUUAUGGAAUAUCCUGUGCUUAUAUAGUCGCGAGCUGUAUGAGUUUGAUCUGUUGCCAUGUUAAUUCUUUGUUGCCCCUGCCCGUGUUAGCCACCUUGUGCUGUUGCGCAGAUACAUCUUUGAGAAAUUGUCAAAAUUUCGUAAUCAGGUGUCAGAAUCAUGGUAGUCGGUUUGUUAUACAUGUGUUGUUAGUUACACUCAACUUCUGCAGUUUUGUAGAUUUUAGCACAAUCUGAAAUACUUAUGGCAAUUGAUCUUAAAUACUGAUGGUGGUUAUCCUGCAGAUGAGCUCAUCAAGAACGCUGCCUACAUUGGCACCCCUGGCAAGGGUAUCCUUGCUGCCGACGAGUCCACCGGCACCAUCGGCAAGCGCUUCGCCAGCAUCAACGUUGAGAAUGUUGAGGACAACCGUCGCGCCCUCCGUGAGCUCCUCUUCUGCACCCCUGGAGCCCUCCAGUACCUCAGCGGCGUGAUCCUCUUCGAGGAGACCCUGUACCAGAGCACCAAGGGUGGCAAGCCCUUCGUCGACAUCCUCAAGGAGGGCAACGUCCUCCCUGGCAUCAAGGUGGACAAGGGUACCGUCGAGCUCGCUGGAACCAACGGUGAGACCACUACCCAGGGCUUUGAUGACCUUGGCAAGCGCUGUGCCAAGUACUAUGAGGCUGGUGCCCGCUUUGCCAAGUGGCGUGCUGUCCUCAAGAUUGGCCUCACCGAGCCAUCACAGCUUUCCAUCGACCAGAAUGCUCAGGGUCUGGCUCGUUAUGCCAUCAUCUGCCAGGAGAAUGGGCUGGUGCCCAUUGUUGAGCCUGAGAUCCUUGUUGAUGGACCUCAUGACAUUGACCGCUGUGCUUAUGUGACCGAGAUGGUCCUUGCUGCCUGCUACAAGGCUCUCAACGACCAGCAUGUCCUCCUUGAGGGUACCCUCCUGAAGCCCAACAUGGUUACCCCUGGUUCCGACGCCAAGAAGGUAGCCCCUGAGGUGAUUGCUGAGUACACCGUCCGCACCCUCCAGAGGACCGUCCCUGCUGCCGUCCCUGCCAUUGUCUUCCUCUCCGGUGGACAGAGUGAGGAGGAGGCGACCCUGAACCUGAACGCCAUGAACAAGCUCCAGACCAAGAAGCCCUGGAACCUGUCCUUCUCCUUCGGGCGUGCUCUCCAGCAGAGCACCCUCAAGGCCUGGGCUGGCAAGGCGGAGAACGAGGAGAAGGCCAGGAAGGCGUUCCUGGUGAGGUGCAAGGCCAACUCCGAGGCCACCCUCGGCACCUACAAGGGCGAUGCCACCCUUGGCGAGGGCGCCUCCGAGAGCCUCCACGUCAAGGACUACAAGUACUGAUCUACCUUCGGUGCUGUGGCACGUUUGGGUGUCCUGCUUACCAGUAUUAUCGUUUGGUUUUCAGGGUCCUGAUAUAUCCUUCGGAUAUCGAACCUAGCAUGGAACUUUACCUUAGGUAGUUUUGUUUUUGGAGUUGAAUGAAUAUCCUGUUUUUGGAGUCGAAUACCGUGUAACCUGAGUGCUGCGUAUAGUAAGUUGGUGGUAAAACCUGUUAUAUGCUGAGUACACAUGCUUUGAGUUUUCUAUUUCGAUGAUUGUGCGUCGCUUAAUUUUUCUUUCGU